GCCCCUGGAGGAGAACAAGUUCAUCAUAGAGUUGAGAGGUGCCCUCGAAGGAUAACCUCUCCUCUAAAUAGACUUAGGGCUUAGCAUCUCAUGUGAGUACACUAGAUCUACUAGAUUGAGAGAGAUAGAGUGGAGGUGUAGAUCGGAGGAAGCCCGGCCUGUCGGUGUCUACUCCGAGGUUGUACCUACGGGAUCAAGUUCUCCUAACCUGAAGCUUGCUCCUAGGAUUCUUCAGUAUUUUGACUUCUAAAUUCUAGUGAGUUCUUGUUUUAUUGUUCUUUGGUUUAUGAGUUUACUUUAAUCUCUUCACAUAGAGUUUAGAGUAAUUAUCUCUAGCAUAGACGUGGUGUUUGGGCUAGGAUACUCAUAGAUAUUCCCUGACUAGCUGGACCGUGGUAAUAGCGAGGAACGUGACAUUUCCGAGUUACCUUUGCAGACCAUAUCUCAUUAGCAGGAUGGAUAGGGUUUAUAGGUGUGGGUUGAACAUCCACUGUGGUGUCUAGAUUCCGUGAGCCUCCCCAAUAAAAUAGUAGAUCAUUCUUACCAAGGUUAGAAAGACACUAUGGUUGUAGUCUUCUCUAUACAUCGCUCACAUCGAGAAACAUUCUUUGUAGCCUAAAUGUUAGUAGUAAUAGACCGGGUUAGUCAGAUGCACUCUUUGUUAGAUGCACUCUUUCUGCUAGUGGUAAAAAUAUAAAUACGAUACUCUGGAUAACAUCCCGGGUGAAGUGCUCACCGAUAUCCGUGCGCUUGCGGAUCAAUUCCUUAUUGCGUUCCGAAAUAUAAACACUCACUCGACCCACAGCAUGUAUAGUUAUCGAUCCCGGUCUCGAAUAUGGAAGUACGGUCGAGCGAACGGCAAAGGGCUCGACAACAGGCAACCCUUGAUUAUAGAAAUAUGCGUCGAGGGAAUCGACUAGCCUCGAGUGCAAAAGCGAUCUACCGCCAUCUGUCGUAGGUAUGGGAGUUAGGGUAUUUAAUGCAACUAAUAGGCUCCCACCUAACCCAGCAGGCACGGGAAACGUGAUGAGGGAUCAUGCGCCCAUCAAAUCCCAUCUUUUCCCAGCUUUAUCCUCAAAAUCGGAGAAAAGUACAUACUAGUAGAGUUGUAACAGGCAUGAUAUCCCAUCAAGAGGCCCCUCGAGAUGAUAGAGUCAGCGCUCCCAUACACAAGAGCCGCCUAUGCCGCCAGACCCUCGAGCCCGCGUGCUCCUUCCCCAAGAAGGGUUGGGUGACGGAAGUCAGCACUCUAACCACUCCCAACACUGUGUCUACUAUGGAGUACAAGCAUGUGCAUGUGCAGACCAAUACCAAAUGGCAUACAGGAGAUAAGCAUAGGAGAUACAUGCACAAUCAUCACCAAGUACACUAUGAACAAGAUAGAUUGUGGUCAUGCCGGUACAGAGGCCUCGAGUAGGCGAGUGCCAUACCCCUAUCGAGGCCUACUCUAGCGCCUGUACCCUGUAACCCUGAGCCUCCCCUUGUACUAUAAAAGGGGACGCUGGGGGCAAGCAAAGAUGAGACACAAUACGUAGAACACCGCUCAUACACCCACGCACUUUGCUAGGACUUAGAACCCUCGGUAGAAUUCUCUUGUAUUCACCCCUGUACAAACACUUAGGUGCAAGAUAAUACAAACUCUCCCUCCCCCGCUGGAUGUAGGGCCUUCUUUUGCCCGAACUAGGAUAAAUCUUUGUGUCAAUCUUGCAUCACCAUCCAAAAAGGAGAACAUGCACGCAAAUUUACUAGUUUGUGUUACCCCCCGGGGAUAAAACACUGACAAUUGGCGCGCCAGGUAGGGGUCCUGCACAUUUUAGUGAUGAUUUCCCAUCCUUUUCCGGAUGGCCACUCCUAUCUCACCAAUUCCGUGCUCCACGGUGAUCUGGUUUGGGAGCCUUGAGUUCAUGUCCACCGGCUUCAGCUACGAAAUGGACUUGCUCUCGGUCAGAGGACCGGGAGGGGGCAUGCAUUAUGCUCACUCGAUCGGAGGCCGUGCGUCGGCCUCACCACCAAGCAUCCCCUCCCAGGAGGAGGCGCGAUCAGCAUCAUUAUCGCCACCCCACAGCUACUGUGCAAUCGCCACCCCGCGUAGGGCAGUUGACCCCUUAGUUGAGGGGCUGAUAGCUUUGCGCACCGGGGCGGUGACCGAGAUGGCCCGCCAGCAGAGCGGCCACCGUUCAGCACCGCAAGGAGACAGCCUCCCCCGCGCGCUGUCACCACCAUCCGCCCUGCAGCCACAUGGAUUGUUCGCCACCAGGAGGAUACUCCUGUUCGGUCUCGACAACGCCGCGAUGUCCCUCACCAAGACAAUCCAUCCUAGUGCCGAUACGCACGUGGAACGGCCACUAGCCUUUCCAUGUAGCAUAGUGAUGCGACAAGAGGCCCCCUCAUCGGCUGAAAGCCUAGGCUUUCUAUAGAUACGUAGGAAUCAAUGCUUGGGAGUAGGACGCUACACUCUCACCACACUAAGACAGCAGCUGGGGGAAGAAUGGCGCGAAUGUUUCUACAUCGCUGUAGAACGAAACCCCGACACUGAGUCUGAUAGUUAUGACCCCAUGAGGGAAUGCUUCAACAUCGAUGGAGCCAUGGCUACCACAGACGACACGGAAGACGACGGCAAUGCCACCACCGCCGCCGCUCCAGCUCCAGCAGCAGAAGCGAACCUCAGGACUCGUUGGAAUGAAGGAUAGGCAGACCCGCCCCAUUAGGAUGAUAAGGCCGCACAACUCGCACAGCUACGCGAGUUGAAAGCCAAGCUCGACGAGGAUCAGGAGCACCUCGAUUAACUCGAACGGGCCCGCGUGCAAGAUCCAGCGCAACCACACGACGGAGGUGCAUGGGGUCGCGCUCGAGUCAUCUGUUGAUAGAUCAUCGAGGACAGAGAACCAGAACAACUCAUCAGUCAUUUCCCUCGAGCAGGUCCGAACAUCAUAGCAGCAACUAUGCUGCUACGUAAUAUGCCCGAGCCCACAAAUUCUCAGACACGACGCAUACGAGAUGAGGUACAGGGCUUGCUCCACGUGGUGGUGGCCCAGCAGGCUGAGAGCUUAGCCUCCCGAUGUCGAGGGGCGGCCAUGGAGAAGUGCCCCGAGCUAGCACGAAACGAGAGAGAGGUAUCUGUCUAUCAGGAACCAACCCCUCGAGGCAAGAAGACAAUACCAGUCUAGGAGCGCCUCGUCUAUAAUCAGGGGCCCCGUGACGAUCGCCACUACAUCAACGAACACCGAUGGUGCAAGCGCGGGGACGCUGAGGAAUGAGGCUAUAGCGCUCACCGUGGCGGACACUACAAUAGCGAUGAGGACCGGAUGGCUCUAGAGCCGCCGGGCCCUCGAGUCUUUAGUUGGGCGAUCCACAACACGCCGCUACCUAGCCCGUUCCGACCCCCAACCAGCAUCGCCAAAUACAACGACGAGACUAAGCUAGAGCUGUGGUUGGCAGACUUCCGGCUGGCAUGCCAGUUGGGAGGCGCUCGAGGAGAUGAUCGAGCUAUCAUCUGACAGCUCCCACUUUUCAUCUCUAACACUACUCGCAGGUGGUUCGAGGAACUCCCAGCCAACCAAAUUUACGACUGAGCCGACCUGGUUAGAGUGUUCGAGGGAAAUUUCAAGGGGACCUACAUCUGCCCAGGCAACUUGUGGGACCUCAGCAAUUGUAAGCAGAAAACUAGAGAAUCUCUUUGAGAGUACGCUCAACGCUUCUCUAAGCAACGCACAUAGCUCCCACAAAUCCCCGACCACGAUGUCAUCCUAGCGUUUGUGUUGGGCACCACCUACAAAGACAUGGUGUGGGAGUUGGGAUGCAAUCACCCGCAAACCGUCAAUGAGCUGAUGGAUGUUGUGGCCAACUACGCGGCCAGUGAGGAGGCGGUUGGUGUUUUCUUCAGCCACGAGAGCGACAAGGGAAAAGCAUCAGCAGACGACAACGAGGGCCCUAGUAGAGGACCCAAGAAGAGCAACAAGAAAAAGAAGAAGGCGCGGCCGAACAAGCGUGAGGCCAUCGACGAUGAUUUUGUCACCGCAGUCGAACGCAAGAAGCCACGAGGCCCCCUAGAAGGGGCCGUCUUUGACAAGAUGCUCAAGGAGUCCUGCCCUUACCACAAGGGAGGGGCCAACCCCAAGCUCGAAGACUGCUGCAUGCUGAAGAAGUACUUCGACAGCCUAGGGCUGAAGAAGGACGACUAGAGGAAGGACGAAGGCGACAACAAGGGCGGAAGCAAGGACGACGAGGAGUUCCCCGUAGUCCAUAACUGCUACAUGAUCUAUGGCGGGCCUAGAACACAGAUCACCUCUCAACAAUGCAACAGGGAAUGACGGGAGGUCUUUGCGGCAAGAAUGGUAGUGCCACAGUACCUCAGCUAGUCGAGCACCCCCAUCACCUUCGACCGUGACGAUCAUCCCGACCGAGUCAUCAGCCCAGGUGUCUAUCCACUCGUCGUCGACCCUACCAUCAUCAACACUCGACUCUCCAAGGUACUGAUGGAUGGUGGUAGCAGCCUCAACAUCAUCUACCUUGAGACUCUCAACCUCCUGGGCAUCGAGAGAGCACAGCUCCAGCCCAGUGCGGGCGAGUUCCAUGGCAUCGUAGUGGGAAAGAGAGCCCUACCGGUAGGUCGAAUCAACCUGUCGGUCUAUUUUGGCAUGGCGGCCAACUUUAGGAAGGAUACCCUCACUUUCGAGGUGGUGGGUUUUCGAGGCACCUACAACACCAUCAUCGGACUCUCAAGGUACGCCAAGUUCAUAGCUAUCCCCAACUACACCUACCUCAAGCUGAAGAUGCCCAGACCCAAGGGGGUCAUCACCGUCAGCUCCUCCUACGAGCACGCUUACGUGUGUGAUGUCGAAUGCAUCGAGUAUGGGGAAGCGCUCGAGAAAACCACCGAGCUCGCCUUGAGACUCAAAGCCCUUGCCGCUGAGGCACCAGAGCCAAAGCGCCAUACAGGUAGCUUCGAGCCAGAGGAAGGCACCAAGAAGAUCCCGCUCGAUCCCGAGCACUCUGAUGGCAAGGCGCUGACAAUCAGUGCCGACCUUGACACCAAAUAGGAAGCCAUGCUCGUCGACUUUCUCCACGCAAAUGCCGAUAUGUUUGCGUGGAGUCCCUCGGAUAUGCCUGGCAUACCGAGGGAAGUCGCCGAGCACUCCUUGGAGAUCCGGGCCGAUUCCAAACCAGUGAAACAACGCUUGCACCGCUUCAACGAGGAGAAGCACAAGAUCAUUGGGGAGGAAAUCCACAAGCUUUUGAUGGCUAGAUUCAUCAACUGAAAGGUUCAAAUGGCUAGAGAGGGGGUGAGUAGCCUAUUUAAUUUUUCAACAAACUUUACUAAACAAGUGAGUUAGUAAAAUAAGUGGCAAAGCUAUUCUAGCACUAGCACAACUAAGCUAUGCAAGCCACCUUCACAAGUCUAGCUAGAAGGCUAAACACUAAACCACAAUAACUAGAGAAGGCUAUACAACAACUCUACUCUAAACAAGAACUAAGCUAUACAAGCUAAAUAACUAGCAAGAUAAGCAAGUAGGUAAAGGAGUAGAGAGUGAUUGUUAUACCGACAUUGCAGAGUAGAUAUAUAAUCAAUCAAUCACAAUCACAAGAGAAUCCUCGACAAGAGAUGACACGAGAUUUUUUUUACUGAGGUUCACUUGUUUCCCAGCAAGCUAGUCCUCGUUGUGGCGAUUGUUGGGUAUUCUUAACAUCACUACCAAAAGUAGACAGUUUUCUAAUUCUGAUAACGGUGCCAAAAAUGUCAAUACUAUCCCUCAUACCACUUAAGCCAAGUUGUCAUCCCCAGCAUGACAUGAGAGACACGGUAUUGAAAUAUGCAAUUGCUCAUCUAAAUAAAUAAUGAAUGGGAUCUGCAAGCGCACAGAUUAAUACCAAUGUAGCAUAUUAACCGGGAAGUAUUCCAGGUAUCAUUAUUUAUAUUUUUACCACUGGGAAGGGAUUAGUAAUCAUCAAUGUUGAUUAUAGAAUGGAAUAUAAGAUUGAGUAUCUAUCAUUGCAUGUAUAAUUGAGAACAUUUAUCUAAAUCUUUCAUACAGGGAUAAGUGUCACAUAAAGGAUAUAUAAAGUAAUGAAUAGUGACAAAGAUAAUUAAUCUGAUCGACAUAACUUAGCCACAUAGUAAAUAUGAUAAGCACCUCAAUUAGAUAUUCUAGCAAGUCAUUAGCAUGGUAUUAGAACGAACUACAAAAAUAUUUCCUAAGUUAUUCUCAACUAUAUAGUCUAGCAUUAUCAUAGUUAGUGCAAUUAUACUUAGCAAUCAUUGUGAGACAGGACUACACAAUAUCUAUCAUUUACCCAUGGAUCCGAUGGAUAAACGCUAUACGAUCCUAAACAUGUAUAUAAUUCCAAUCUAACUAAGCCAAGUAUAUAACCAUGAUAAACUAAGAACAAUAUAAUCUUGAAUAUAAACAAGUAGAGCAAUGUCAUAAGCAAUAUAUUGAAGUAGAACAAAGUAAUAUUCAUAAUAUUGAAGAACAAAGAUGAACAAUUAGAAGAACAAUUAGAGAAUUACCAAGAAUCCUCUUGACAGAUCUGGAAACCAAUCGAAGAUUGACUCCUUCUAGUUCUAAUCCUAUGUAGCUAUGCUAAUCUAGAUGUCUAAUUGAUGUGGUGGCUCUAGGCUUGAUCAGAGGCUUCUUCUCCCUUGAAGAAUAAUGAAUUAGGGUUGAGAGGCUCUCUCCUCCAGGGGCCAGGGGGUCUGGUUUUAUAGUCCCUCCAAGUGAAUAUGGGCCGUUGGAUCAAACCGACAUUGAUUGAACGGUUAUCCUUGAUCCUUUAGGUCGGUGGAGCGUAAUCCUGAAAGAGUGUUCUGAUUGGACUCCAACAGGGGGUGGGCUCCCUGGUCUCCUGGGCGGGCGCCAUGAGCCACGCUCCGUUUCGCCUCCGCUUCGUUCUCGUGGCUUUUGGAGUCUUCUAGAUGUAAGAUAAUUGUGCGGCACGUUGAUAUCUCUAUGUAAUCCCGACGUGUGGGCCUUUCAUUCGUAUUUCCUGAUAACCCCCUGCAGAAAUAGACAAACACCAAAACUCGUGGAAUUCUGUCAGACAAACCCUAAGUCUGGAUGUUGAUUUCAUUUGGAUCCUUUUCUUGGUUUAUUUGAUAAUUAAAUUUGAUACUUAGGGACCGUCAACAAACUCCCCUAAGCUUACCUCUUCCUCGUCCCUGAGCAAUGAUAAUCUCAGCAAUGGAUCAGAAGUUGUUGUAAUACCUUUCAAAAUUGACGGUACACAUGCUUUUAAAUAAGAUCUCAUCUCUGAGUUAGAGUAAACUGUCAAGACUCAAAACUUACUUACUUUACCUUUCACCAUGGGACUUGUAACCGUUACUUUUGUCUUGAGUAGUUAAAAGAUAGAACGGUCUAGUCAAGUGUCAUGUCUCUUAUUCUUGAUCAGCUAUAGCUCUGGAGUUUUUGCAGAAUUUCAUAUAAAACUCAGAGAUUCCUUGUAUGACUCUCUCAGAUCUCUCUUUUGUGGUAUUUCUGGAUCCUUACCAAGGCAGUGAUGGUAUAUGCCUUUUCUCAAAAUAUGUAGUAUUUGUGGUAUAAAGCAUAGUGACAUUGCCUUCUCUCUCAUCCUACUCUAAUAAGGCUUUAAUACCUGGAGCUCAUAGGUGGGAGAUAAAAUAUACAUACUCACAAGACAUUUAUUGUAUAGUCAAACCAUGGAUCCAAAGAAACAAAUCAAUAAGUCAAAUCAAGAUGUGCAUGUGUGGCGAAUGAAUGGUGUAUAGUGAUGAUGGUGAUAACAAGGGUGAAAGUCUAAUUCUACUUUUGCUCUUUGAGGGGAUACAUACCUUCCUUGCUCUUUGAAACUUUGUGAGGAGAAUGAGAUGCUCUAUCUUUUCUUUUUCUUUCCUCUUAAGUGGGUAUCUUGUACCCCUAAUUCUACUGUCGGACACUUGUCCAUUUUUACCUCUCGUCUCACUUUUUCUUUUCUUUCGAGGUUCCGGCCACUUGCCCCUUUUUAUUUCCUCAUAUCUCUUUUUUUAGAGCACUCAUCUCUUGAGAUAAUAUAGCAUGUGGUAGUAACAAGAUAACUUGAGCAUUUAUUUCACAUGGGAAAAAAUAGAAAUAUUUUUGGCUAUUCUCUCCCGGAUUAGGAGUAGAAUAUUUUUGGGUGGUUGUGGAGAUGGGAAUGGGUGGAUAUAUGUGGAUGCGUACUUCCGGAGUAGAAGCAGCAUGUGUGAGUGAACAUGCAAGUGAAUCUUGAUUUAACCACAUGACAAGCUCCUAGAAUUAGGGUUUGAUCUGAUAGAAUUCUACGAGUUUUGCUGUUUAUCUAUUUCUCCAGGGGGUUAUCAGGAAAUAUGGAAGAAAGGCCCACAUGUCAGGUUUACAUAGAGAUAUUAACGUGCACCGCAAUUAUUCAACAUCUAGAAGACUCCAGAAGCCACGGGAAUGAAUGGGAGGCCGAUCGGCUCGGGGGAAGGGCGCCCGCCCUCCCACCUUGGGCACCCGCCCACCUCUGGUGGCCAAUCAUGGUGAAUCACAUGGAUUAUGCUCCACCACCUUUAAGGAUCGAGGAAAACCGUUCAAUCAAGGUCCCCUGGCCCCUAGAGGGGAGAAUCCCAUUAUUCAUUAUCAUAUUUUCCAAAGAGGAUUCAGAGAGAGAGGUUCCUUAGGGUUCCCACUGUUGACACUAACUAACACCACUUAGAUACUAGGUUGUCAUCCCUAGCAUGGCGCCAGAGUGUACAAAGGUAUUUAUAAAUGUAAAGGCUCUCUAGAAAAUAAUCUAUUCUAUCCGCAAGCGCACAGAUAAAACACCUCAUUGUAGCAUUUCACCAGGAUAAGUAUUCCAGGUAUCGUUAUUUAUAAUUUUGCUCUAGGGAUCUCAAGAAGAUGGAAUUAAAUCAAGGGACAAAAUCUAUCAAGGCAUAGACUAGAGAUAAACUUGCAAGAACAUGAUUACUAAUGAGAAACUCGUCACACAGUCACUUACUUUAGCAGGGGGUAAACCAUAAAGAUAAUGAUAAUAAAGUAUAAGUUCAUGGUUAGAUAGCACAGCGAUUAGAAAAUAGACUACUCCUCAUAUAUGUAUGUGAUGUCGUAUUAGCUAGAGAAUGGAUUCUAAGUUAUCUACUAACUACUAAGUCAUAAUCUACUCUAGUUAUCUACAAGAUCAUAUAUAGCAUAAAAGACUCUUCAUUCAUGUAUAAGGAACAUUGAUAAAGUAAAUCAGAACAUCGCAUGACUUACUCCACAAUACCGGUUCUGCCUGUCCUAUCAACAGAGGGUGGACUAUAUAAGAAUCAACGAAGCUGUCACUAUCGCGAACUACCACACGACUCGGCCAAUAGGAUACAUUUGCAGAUAAAUAACAUCUAUGCACCACGCUCACAUGUGAUCUAUCACUUAACUCCCUCGCGACAAGAGCUAAGCGCUUUGCAAACUUAUACAUAAACUAAUUAUCAAUUAGAACUAUAUCAAAUAUAGAACUAGAGCAAACUAAGAAUAUAAUAAUUAGAGACAUAAUGCAAUUAGAACAAUAGAAUUAGAGAAAGAUAUGAAUAAUACCAAUCUUUAUUACCGAAGAUCCGAAUCCAGAGCGUAGUGCUCUACUUCUCUAAUUGCUAUCUAUUCAACCUCUAAACUUGAAGGAUUAGGGAGUAGCUAAUUCUAAUUCUCUGUGGGAGAGAGAUCUAAACCCUAACUUUGAUGGCUACCUCUGAAUAAUGAUUUCUCCUCUCCUCCUCCAGGGGCCAGGGGGUCUGGUUUUAUAGUCCCCUCAAGUGAACGUGAGCCAUUGGAUCAAACCGACAUAGAUUGUAUGGUUUAGAUUGAUCCUUUAGGUCGCUGGAGUCUUGCCCCGAAGCAGAGUCUUGAUUGGCCUUUUGGCCAGGGCGGGCGCCCAAGGGGGGUGGGCGGCCGCCCAGCUCCCGAGCCCGAUUCGCGUCCCGUUCGUUCCCGUGGCUUCUGGAUCCUUCUAGAUUGAGGAAAAUUGCACGGCACGUAAUUAUCUCGUUGUAAACAUGACAUGUGGACCUUCUCUCCAUAUUUUCUGAUAAACCCCUACAGAAAUAGAUAAACACCAAAGCUCGUGGAAUUCUGUCAGAUAAAACCCUAAUUCUAGAUGUUUGUUUCAUAUUGAUCCUUUUUCAUGUUUAUUUGAUUAUUAAUUUUAGUACUUAAGGACCAUCAACAAACUCCCCCAAGCUUACCCUUUGCUCGUCCCUGAGCAAAUAGCUAAACUUAGACGGAUCAGGAGUUGCUUCGAUGUUUUCUUUCCUGACAGGCACACAUGCUUUUACAUAAAAAUUCUUCCAGAUUAGAGUGAAGUGUUAUGGAGUUUAGUACCUGCACUUAAAUCUUAAGUAAUCAAAAGACAAAAUAGUUAAGUCAAGCACUAUCCCUCUUGUCUACACUUCACCUUUGUUCUAGAGUUUUUCAUAAGUUUUCAAAAUAAAACUCAGAGUUCCCAGCAAUAAUCUCUCUCUUGUCUACACUUCACCUUUGUUCUAGAGUUUUUCAUAAGUUUUCAAAAUAAAACUCAGAGUUCCCAGCAAUAAUCUCUCAAGUCUCUCUAUAUGUGGUAUUUGUGGAUCCUUACCAUAAUGUCACUUACCUAUAGCUAAUAGAAUAUUUAAGUGGAGCUCAUAGGAGUGGAAAACAGCUCAUACAUAUGUUGUCUAAUCGAGCCAUGGAUCCAAAGGAACUCAGCAUAUAAUUAAAUCAAGAUGUGCAUGUGUGGUGGAGUAAAUGAUAGUGAUGGUGAAAAUGCAAUAGUGUUAAUAAAUCUUAGUUCUCAUUGCUCCUCAUAUUGCUAUCUCUCCUCUUAUUUUUGAUCUUUGCUUUGGGAGAACAUGGGCUAUCUUUUUCUUUCUUCUUUCUUCUUUUUUUUUCAGGUGGGUAAUAGAUACCCCUAAUUCUACUGUCAGACACUUGUCCAUUUUUUCCGCUCAAGUGGGCAUCUUUGUACCCCUAAUUCUACUUUGGACACUUGUCCAUUUUUACCUCUCGUCUCACUCUUUUUCUUUCUUUUUCGAGGUUCCCGGGCACUUGCCCCUUUUUAUUUCCUCGUAUAUAUUUUUGCAUAACCCAUGCCUCUUCUACAUUGAAUCUUUUUAGAGAGAGAGAAUAACAAUAUUCGGGACAGUGAGUGAUAAUAUUUUUAGCAAUUUUAAUGAUUGAUGAUGAAUGCUGUGGUAGAUGUGUGCAAGUGAAUAUCUUAAUUUAACCACAUGAAAAGCUCCUAAGGGUCUACACAGCUCGAUCAAACUCAAUGUAAAUAUAGUAAAAGAUGUUAUAGCAAGUAUGGCUGUGGUAGGUAGUUUGUUAUGCUAGGAACUCAUCAUGUGACUUGUAAGUUUUCAAAAUAAAUCUCCAGAACUUAGUGUAGUAGAAACAAGAUAAACAGUACCUCAACUUUAUAUCAUGCCUUUCUCUUACCUAGACUUUAGUUUUAUGCUUCCUAAAGAUAGUAAUUUUAGUUUUAGUAAUUCCUGGAAGAAUUCUAAUAUAAAAGCUAGGUACUUGUAAGUAAGCAAACAGAGCAACUGUUCAUCAUUUCCAUCAUGCAUAUUUUUGGUCUUUUUAUUUUUUUUAGAGAUUAAACUUAGUAGAAAAAUAAAACACACUUAUCUACGCACUCUUUUUAUUUUGUUUUCAUGUUUAUAAAGUGCAGUAAAUUAAAGCAAGAAAAUAUUUAUUUGGUUUUCUAAGUUUUUUCUUUUAAGAUAAAUAAAAUACUAAGGCAGAAUAGAAUAAAUAAGAAGAGAAAAUAAAACUUACUUGAUAAAUUAGGGAGGAACUCCCCCAAGCUGGAUGUUGACGUGGGUCUUACCCGAUGUUCCAGAACCGCAUCAUGGUUGUGAUGUUAUCGUUCAUUGUUGUUGUAUCUUGUCUCAGCUGUUGUACCGCAGCCGCAUGGUCCUGGUUCCAUUUUUGUUGCUCUUCCAGGAGUCUUCCAUGUUCUCCUUGCGUGUUCUGGAUGUCGAGGAGGGUGUUGUCGGUACGAGUGAAGAAAGCACCGGCCUCUUGAUAGUAGUCAUUCGUGAAGGCGUAGGAGGCAUCGGAGUUUCGUCCUGCAUCAAAUUGGGGUGGAGGUCUGGAUCCUGAAGCUCCAUAUGGAUCAGUGGAGUACCUGCCCGUAUGGAAAGGCGGGUUUGUCCACUGGUGAUCUUGGCUCUCCGGCCAUGUCUCCUCUGUUGGCUCUUGUGGUUGUGCAUGACGAGCCCAUGGGUCUCGAAGGACUCGUGGAUUGUAAUCGCAAUAAUGCAGGUGCGCUGCUUCGUCUGGUCCAGGGUCAGCUCCAUACCAAGUGCGUUCUCGGUGAGUGGUUAUCCUUUCAGAUGCCACUCGCUGUGGAGUUCUCUGGUUCACUGGUGUUGCUGCAAUCUCAAUCAAAAAGUUUUGCACAGAGUAGAGGCCAAGGUUCGGGUUAGGUAACCGAAUCUUGCCUUUAUCAUCAUAUAGCAUAUACAUUAUAUUCCCCUCUUUCUUUAACAUCCGAGCUUGUCUAAAUGUGUCAUAGCCAUGAUAAAUUCUUAAUUCUUCUAUGAAGUCCAACGAUGAGUUUUCUAGUAAGUGAAGAUUAGUGGCUAGACGAGUGAUAAGUGAAGUACAUCCUACUGGUCCCUGAAGACUAGGUAUACUAAGCCAAUGUGAAACUAAUAGUGUAACAGGUGAAGUAGGUACUUUACUAAUAGCAGCAUAUAAAAGUUGUAAAUCUCCUACUCUUAAGUUCCUAAUAUCAUCGCGAUAGAAAAGAUUGUACCCAAGCCAUUUGUGGAACAUCCUAAGAGUGGGGUGUUCCAUGUCACUGGUUCGGGCUUGACUGUAAAAAUUAUCUCUAGAUAUUUCUCUCCAAAACUGGUGUCUCUCAAAAUUGGGUAAAUCGGAGUCAAUGUUCAGGAUGCAUCUUGAAGAGAAACCAAGAUGGUCGCUCAGCUCUCUCCAAGAUAACAUAAUUUCCUGUUUAAACAUCCGAAAAACAAUUCCCCCCUCAUAGUAUUGUAAAGUGCAAAGAAAUUCGAGGGUGAGAAGACGAGAACCCAGCUCAGUUAUAUUCCAAAAAUUUGUCCAACCCAUCAUCUGAAAAAUUAAGUCAAAUUCAGUGUCCAUACCUGUUUCUCGUAGUAGGAUUGGAUCGAUAGUAGGGGUGUGAAUGAAAUCCUUGUUCUUCAAUUGCUGAUAAACUUUCUUCUCUCUUCGGGUCUUCAGUCCAAGGUCUCCUAUCUUGAGAAGGACCUUGACUUGCUGGCCUGAUGAAGAUGAUGGAGCUUGUGUGGGUGUCGGGUCGACGCUCAUCUCUGAUGGCUGUGAGGAGUGUCGGGUUGAACUCCUUGUACCAAUGUUCUUGAGAGCCUUCCCUGCAUUCUUCACCUUCUUAAACAUCCUGCAAACAAAAGUUGGCAAAAACACAACUGGUGGAAAAUGUGAGAUAAAAUGUUAGUGGUUAGCUGUCCGAGUGUCAGUAGUCCAGGGGUUAAUCGUUCAAGACAAGUUUCUAUUUUGGUAGAGCCUCCCCCUAAACAACUUUUACUUUCGCUUGGACAGCGGGAUCACUAUUUGCUAGGUGACAAUCACUCUCUCAAAAGAACUCCAACCUUCCCUUCCACUCUCCUCUUUCUCUCUACUCUCUUCUCUUCACUACAAAAGCUCCUUCUCGGGAAACUGAGAUUUGUGUGGUUUUCUGAAGUGUUUGUGUGAAGAGAAGGGGAGCUGGAGGUGGCCUUUUAUAGGCUGAGCAGGGGACAGGGCGGGCGCCCAAGGUAGGUGGGCGGGCGCCCACCCCUGGUGUCCAUCCUGGGUGUGCCUCCUCCACUUGCUUCCUUGCUUUGAUCUCACGCAGAAUAAUAUUGUGUUGAUAGUGGUUGGACGGUGGAAAGAUGUCAGGUGAGUGGAAACAUAUUGGUGGAUGAAAUUAUAUGAUGGGAUGUAUGUGAGGUGAAGUGUAUGACAUGUGGGACCCAAAGAGUGUGGGUCAUGCUUCUAGAAGAUCAAUAUAAAUAAAUAUAGUGCAGGAAAAUCUAUGAGAAUUGAAUCUUAAUGAAAAUGAUAUUGGAAAAUAUUUUUGUGCCUCCAUAAUAAUUAAUAAAUAUGGGUUGUUACACACCACGAAUAUUAUUUAUAUGGGGCCUUUUUUUAUUAUUAUUAUAAUAAUGCUAUGACUAAUGCAAGAAUUAAUUAUGCAAGAAGUUAAAUAUGAGAAAAUUAAUAAUGCGGAUAAAUACCGAUUUACCUCCCGGUGAGGGUUUGGGAUUUUUAGGUCCCCCAAGCUGGACCUCCAAAUCUUUUAAUCUUCUGAGUUUCCUUCCUCCGGAGAUGGUGUCUCCAGUGGUUCUUUAUGAACUUCCUUUACUAUAGGGUCUCUCUCUGGUCUGGGUUUGAAUGUGAAGUGUUCUUCUUGACCGUUUAUGUUGAACUUGAUUUCUCCUUUUCCGACAUCAAUGUGGGCAUUGGCAGUGCUCAGAAAUGGCCUUACAAGGAUGAUGGACACUUUUGAGUCAGGACUCUUGUCCAGUACUACGAAGUCUACUGGCACCAGGAAAUCUCUGAUCUUGACUGGAAUGUUCUUGGUGAUGCCCAACGGGUGUCGAACCGAUUGAUCCGCUAGUUGUAGGCACAUUGAUGUUGGUUCUAAGUUUGCAUGAUUAAGAUUUUUGUAGACUGAUGCUGGCAUCACACUGACACUUGCUUCGAGAUCACAAAGUGCAUUGUUGAAGUGUUGGUUUCCGAUCGAGCAGUCAAUAGUGGGGCAUCCUGGAUCUUCCUUCUUCUUUGGUGGUGUGUUGAGGAUGGCCGCACUACAUUCUUCUGUCAGCUUGAUAACCUCAGUGGUGGGCAGUGGUCUCUUUUUGUUAAGAAUAUCUCUGAUGUACUUUGCAUAUGUAGGUACCUGUAUGGCAUCAAGUAGAGGUAUGUUGACAUAUAAUUUCUGAAUGACCUCUACAAACUUACCAAACUGCUCAUCCGAUUGCAGUACUCUGUUUCUUCUGGGAAAUGGCAAAUAGUUGGUGUCGUAAAAAUCUUUCCUCAUUUCUCUAGUUCUUGGUGGUUGGAGCAGAUCUUCUGCUUCAACUGGGCUUUCUUCUUCUAUCACUGCUGGUUGCACUGGUGCUGAUGUUCUUUGUUUCUCUUUUGGGUAUGGUGGAUCUCUGGUAGCUUUACCUCCUCUAGUAGUUAUAUUCUUUACCUGCUCAAGGUUAGUAGCAACAGGCAGUGCAGCAGCUAACUUUAUUAAUUUAAGCUCUACCCUUUUAUUAAGAGUGUUUUGCUCAUCAAAGGCAGUUAGUAGAAAAUCCAUUUUAUUAUUUAUAACUUUUAGAGACGAUUCAUUUGUAUCUAGCCUUUGUUUAAUUUUAUCAUUAAUUUUGGUUUGUUGAGCAAUUAUCUCUUUUAAUGAAAGUUGUUUGACAGUAUUACCUGAAUUCAUACCUUUGCUAUUGGGUUGACUCGAAGUUGGUUGAUAUUUAUAUGCUGUCUCAAUGGCCCUUUGAUCUUCUUUGAACUUGGCCCUCUGGUCAAUCCAAUGGAGCAAAUUUUCCAUCUUAGUUGAUAAUGCAUUUACUUCUUCUGGUAUUUCUUCAGUUUGAUGACAUUGUUGAGCUUUAGCUUGGAACCAGCUUUGGUUUUCUGCUAUCUUAUCCAAAAGUAUCUCUGCUUUUCCAGUUGUAAGCUCCAAGAAUGAUCCUUUAGCAGAUGCAUCUAGGCACUCACGAGCCUUCUGGGUUAAUCCAUGGUAGAAGGUCUGCAUAAGUAACCAUGUGGCCAUUCCAUGGUGAGGACAAUCUGAUAUGUAUCCUUGAAAACGCUCCCAUGCUUCUGAAAUGGCUUCUGUCUUCUGUUGUUGGAAACUGACAAUAUUUCCUCUUAAGGCAGUUGUUUUGCCUAUAGGGAAAAACUUUGAUAGAAAGGCAUCUGACAAGUUCGUCCAGUUGUUGAUGUUAUCUUGAUGAGUGUAGAACCACUUCCUCGCUUUUCCUUCUAGUGAGAAUGGAAAGAGGCGAAGCAGUAUGACGUCUUUGUCAACUCCGUUGAUGUGGAUUGUGCUUCCAAUCUCUAAGAAAUUCUGCAAGUGUGCACUGGCAUCUUCAUGUGCCUUUCCACUGAAUUGUGUAGCUUGUACCAAAUUGAUGAGGCUUGACUUGAGCUCAAACUCAGGUAUUCCUUCUUCUACUGCAAAUCUUUGGACCAGUUAGAAUGUUCUCAAGGCUUGGAGCAGAGAAUUCUUGUAGGGUCUUCUGUGCCAUAGCUUCAGCAAUUGGUAGCUAGCUUCUUCUUCUCUUGAUUGCUUUGGUUCUGAUGAUGAAGAGUUGAAUGUACCCAAAGUCAAUCCUGUUAUACCCUGUAUAAAAAUAUAAACAUAGAAAAACAAUAGGGUCAACCUGCCAAAGCAGCGGUGCCUUGUUAUGAUUUCUCACUUAGUAGCUGUUUUAUGCAAUUAUUUCUCUAUAGUCUAGUCUAAUAUUUUAUAUGAAUAACCUUGAUUGAUUUUCUGGCUUUCCUUAAUAUUACCCUUUUGUUCCCUUUUAUGUCUUAUUCCUGAGGCUCAUAUAAUUCCUAUAAGAUCCCCGGCAACGGCGCCAGAAAUGCUUGUUGACACUAACUAACACCACUUAGAUACUAGGUUGUCAUCACUAGCAUGGCGCCAGAGUGUACAAAGGUAUUUAUAAAUGUAAAGGCUCUCUAGAAAAUAAUCUAUUCUAUCCGCAAGCGCACAGAUAAAACACCUCAUUGUAGCAUUUCACCAGGAUAAGUAUUCCAGGUAUCGUUAUUUAUAAUUUUGCUCUAGGGAUCUCAAGAAGAUGGAAUUAAAUCAAGGGACAAAAUCUAUCAAGGCAUAGACUAGAGAUAAACUUGCAAGAACAUGAUUACUAAUGAGAAACUCGUCACACAGUCACUUACUUUAGCAGGGGGUAAACCAUAAAGAUAAUGAUAAUAAAGUAUAAGUUCAUGGUUAGAUAGCACAGCGAUUAGAAAAUAGACUACUCCUCAUAUAUGUAGGUGAUGUCGGAUUAGCUAGAGAAUGGAUUCUAAGUUAUCUACUAACUACUAAGUCAUAAUCUACUCUAGUUAUCUACAAGAUCAUAUAUAGCAUAAAAGACACUUCAUUCAUGUAUAAGGAACAUUGAUAAAGUAAAUCAGAACAUCGCAUGACUUACUCCACAAUACCGGUUCUGCCGGAGGGUGGACUAUAUAAGAAUCAACGAAGCUGUCACUAUCGCGAACUACCACACGACUCGGCCAAUAGGAUACAUUUGCAGAUAAAUAACAUCUAAGCACCACGCUCAUAUGUGAUCUAUCACUUAACUCCCUCGCGACAAGAGCUAAGCGCUUUGCAAACUUAUACAUAAACUCAUUAUCAAUUAGAACUAUAUCAAAUAUAGAACUAGAGCAAACUAAGAAUAUAAUAAUUAGAGACAUAAUGCAAUUAGAACAAUAGAAUUAGAGAAAGAUAUGAAUAAUACCAAUCUUUAUUACCGAAGAUCCGAAUCCAGAGCGUAGUGCUCUACUUCUCUAAUUGAUAUCUAAUCAACCUCUAAACUUGAAGGAUUAGGGAGUAGCUAAUUCUAAUUCUCUGUGGGAGAGACAUCUAAACCCUAACUUUGAUGGCUACCUCUGAAUAAUGAUUUCUCCUCUCCUCCUCCAGGGGCCAGGGGGUCUGGUUUUAUAGUCCCCUCAAGUGAACGUGAGCCAUUGGAUCAAACCGACAUAGAUUGUAUGGUUUAGAUUGAUCCUUUUGGUCGGUGGAGUGUUGCCCCGAAGCAGAGUCCUGAUUGGCCUCUUGGCCAGGGCGGGCGCCCAAGGGGGGUGGGCGGCCGCCCAGCUCCCGAGCCCGAUUCGCGUCCCGUUCGUUCCCGUGGCUUCUGGAUCCUUCUAGAUUGAGGAAAAUUGCGCGGCACGUAAUUAUCUCGUUGUAAACAUGACAUGUGGACCUUCUCUCCAUAUUUUCUGAUAAACCCCUGCAGAAAUAGAUAAACACCAAAGCUCGUGGAAUUCUGUCAGAUAAAACCCUAAUUCUAGAUGUUUGUUUCAUAUUGAUCCUUUUUCAUGUUUAUUUGAUUAUUAAUUUUAGUACUUAAGGACCGUCAACACCCACCUCAUAGGGCGUAGCAUCCAAUGUGAGAGUAGUCUAGUUCUACUAGAUUGAGAGAGAUAGAGUGGAGGUGUAGAUCGGAGGAAGCCCGGCUUGUCGGUGUCUACUCCAAGGUUGUACCUGUGUGAUCAAGUCUCCUAACCUGAGUCUUUCUCCUAGGAUUCUUCAGUAUUUCAACUUCUAAAUUUUAGUAAGUUCUUUGUUUUAUAGUUCUUUGGUUUAUGAGUUUACUUUGAUCUCUUCGCGUAGAGUUUAGAGUAAUCAUCUCUAGCGUAAAUGUGGUGUUUGGGCUGGAAUACUCAUAGAUAUCCCCUGUCUAGCUGGACCGUGGUAGUAGCGAGGAACGUGACAUUUCCGAGUUACCUUUAUAGCCCAAAUCCCGUUAGUAGGCUCAAUAGGGUUUAUAGGUGCGGGUCGAACAUCCUCAGUGGUGUCUAGAUUCCGUGAGCCUCCUCAACAGAACAAUAGAUCAUCCUUACCAAGGUUAGAACGAGAGUGCAGUUGGAGUCUUCUCUAUACAUCACUCACAUCGAGUCAUAUUGUUCGUAGCCUAAAGGUUAGUAGUAAUAGACCGGGUUAGUCAGAACACGCUUUCUCCUAGUGGUAAACAUAUAAAUAUGAUACUCUGGAUAAUAUCCUGGGUGAAGUGCUCACCGAUAUCCGUGCGCUUGCGGAUUAAUUCUGGUUGCGUUACCAAAUAUCAACAAGCAUUUCUAGCGCCGUUGCCGGGGAGAAAGACGGUUUGCUGAGAUAACCUUGAGUCUUACUACUAGCUUGUAUUUAUACUUUUAUCUUUUCUUAUAUUUUUAUAUUCUUUAUUUUCUUUACUCUUACCUUAUGGAAAACCAAGAUUGUAAAUCGAUCUAUCAAUUUGCAACACCUUGAGAAACUGACCUUUUACAAUGGGAGUCAUCACAGCCUAUCCAAACAUCCCAGUAUAUGUUAAGUUCCAGGUUGAUUGCCAUGAUUCAAAACCUAUCCUUUUCAGGAAAGGAAGACAAAAACCCUUACCUUCAUAUUAGAGAUUUUGAGCAAACAUGUGAUUGUCUUCGCAUUGAAGGCAUUUCUAAUAAAACUUUAUGUUGGAAGCUUUUUCCUUUUUGUUUAAGGGGAGAAGCUUGACAAUGGUAUAGUUAGAAGGUAAGUCAGCAACGAGGUGAAUGGGGAGUCUUACGAGCCAACUUUUGUAUAGAUUUUUAUUCCCUCGACCGUAUCGGCGACCUUAGACUCGAAGUCCUAUCUUUUAAACAAAAAGAUAAUGAAACUUUGGGAAAUCAUGGAAACAUUUUUCUGAUCUUUUAGAAUCUGGUCCAAACCUUAAUCUUGAAGACCCUAUUCUUUUAUUUCAUUUUUUUUGAGGUCUUCAGAAAGAUCAUAAACAAAUGCUACAUACAAUGUCUAGUGGUCCUUUCUUUCGCAUCCCUACUGAUGACGCUAGAGUGAUCCUAGAUAGAAUCCUAGAAGUUGAGAUGGAUAAUACCCUUCAUGAAGAAACCCACGAAGCCGAAGUAGACACUCUGCCAAAUUCUCCAUCUACUUUAGCUAUCCCAAGUUCUGAGCCACAAAAGGAAGAAAUUCCACCACCUGAUUUCAUGCUGGAUAUAGAAUCAGAUCUUUUGCCGAUUUUGGAAACAUUUCAAACUACCAUUCUAUAGAAAGACCCCAAAACGGCCAUUUUAGCAUUUGUUUCCCAAGUGAACAUCAAUUGAGAGAGUUUAUCACAGUCAUGAGUAGCGAAUGGUUGGAGGAGUCAGAGCUUUCCUCUGAUGUGAUCCGCUUGGACACACCUCCUAUAACUAUACGCUGUGCUUAUGAUUCUGAUCAAUUUGAUGCUCUCAAUAAUCCUGUUGUGGGAAUCAACAUCAUGUCUGAAUCUUUUGCACUUAAAUUAUUUAAAAAUUUGGUCUUAACCCCCACGACAAAGGUCAUAAAGGAAUCUUCGGGACGAUUAGUCCCCAGUCUUGGAAUUAUUAAUGUCCUAACCCUUAUGGUAGAAGGCUCCAUGGUUCAUUUGAACUUUUAUAUCUUUGAUACAUGGGACUUCGACCUGUUGAUAGGACAACCUUUUAGAAGACUCCUUUAUGAAGGUCAUACUGGAAAGUUACACAUUUCUUUUGGAAAAACUUUUAAAUUUCCAAUAACGAUUUCUCACUCCUUAAAUAAUAAGAUCGAGUCAUAUCUUUUGCCCGAUCCUAUGGAGGAGGUAAAGGUUGCAUCUCUAGAGCUUUUAGAUGAACCAGACUUAGAAGAAGAAGCCCCUUUCUUCAUAGAAGAAGCUGAACCUUCAGAACCUGAACCCUUAGACGAGUUUGCAGAAACACCUAGACCUCCAAUAGAGCUUAAAACUUUACCACCCGGUCUUACCUAUGCUUUCCUAAACAAUAAUCUAGAGUUUCCUGUGAUCAUUAGUGACAAACUCACUCAGGAGCAAACUCUGCGAUUGAUGACCAUUCUCGAGAAACAUCACUCAGUUUUCGGCUACUCACUCCAAGAUCUUACAGGAAUCAAUCCUAUGAUUUGUACCCAUCGUAUUCCAACAGAUCCUUCUGUUAUACCUUCUCGAGAGCCCCAACGUAGACUUAAUAACAAUGCAAUGAGAGAGGUAGUUAAAAAGGAAGUUAUAAAGUUGCAGCAUGCAGGGAUUAUAUAUCCUGUGCCGCACAGUGAGUGGGUGAGCCCAGUUCAAGUUGAGCCUAAAAAGGGAGGCAUGACUGUCGUUACGAAUGAAAAGAACGAGCUAAUUCUGCAACGCACCAUCACAGGGUGGUGGAUGUGCAUUGACUACAGAAAACUAAAUAAAGCCACGAAAAAGGAUCAUUUUCCUUUACCUUUCAUAGACAAGAUGCUAGAGCGAUUAGCGAACCAUUUGUUCUUCUGUUUCUUAGAUGGAUAUUCAGGGUAGCACCAAAUCUCGAUAAAUCCCGAUGAUCAAAGCAAAACCACUUAUACAUGCUCAUACGGAACUUAUGCUUACCGUAGAAUGUCUUUUGGGUUAUGUAAUGCACCAGCUUCUUUUCAAAGAUGCAUGAUGUCUAUAUUUUCUGAUAUGAUUGAAGAGAUUAUGGAAGUUUUCAUGGAUGAUUUCUCUAUAUAUGGAAAAACUUUUGAUAGUUGUCUUGAAAACUUAGAUAGGGUUUUGCAAAGAUGUGAAGAAAAGCACUUAGUCCUUAAUUGGGAAAAAUGUCAUUUUAUGGUUAGGGAAGGAAUAGUGUUGGACACCUAGUGUCUGAAAGAGGUAUUGAGGUAGACAGAGCUAAAAUUGAAGUAAUUGAACAACUACCUCCACCUGUGAAUAUAAAAGGAAUUCGAAGCUUUCUUGGCCAUGCUGGUUUUUAUCGCAGAUUCAUAAAAGAUUUUUCAUUCAUUGCUAGACCACUUACUCUUUUGCCAGCCAAGGAUGCUUCGUUCGAAUUUGAUGAUGCAUGCCUAACAUCUUUCAAAUUUUUUAAAGAAUGCACUCAUCUCUACACCAAUCAUUCAACCCCCUGAUUGGUCAUUGCCUUUUGAAAUUAUGUGGGAUGCUAGUGAUUAUGCUGUGGGGGUAGUUUUGGGACAAACUAAAAAUAAUAAGCAUCAUGCAAUUGCUUAUGCCAGUAAAACUAUGACAGGAGCUGAACUUAAUUAUGCAACCACUGAAAAAGAGCUUCUGGCCGUUGUCUUUGCCAUUGAUAAAUUUAGUUCUCAUUUAGUUGGAGCUAAAAUAAUUGUUUACACUGAUCAUGCUGCACUAAAAUAUCUACUCACUAAAAAGAUGCUAAACCUCGCCUGAUUAGAUGGAUCUUAUUACAUCAAGAAUUUGACUUGGAAAUAAAAGAUAAAAAGGGAGUAGAAAAUUCUGUUGCUGAUCACUUGUCUAGGAUGUAUUUUAAGAAUCCAUAGGAAACCCCCAUCAAUGAUUCACUCCAGGACGACAUGCUCUACGGGAUUAACAGGUCUGACCCCUGGUAUGCAGAUAUUGUUAAUUUUAUGGUUUCAGGGUAUGUAGCACCAGGAGCGAACAAGAAGAAGCUUAUUCAAGAAAGUCGUUCACAUAUAUGGGAUGAGCCAUACCUCUUCCUAGUAUGCUCUGAUGGCUUACUCAGGAGAUGUGUGACUACCGAGAAAGAAUGGAAGAUCAUCGACAGAUGUCAUUCAUCACCUUAUGGAGGUCAUUAUGGUGUUUAGGGUUUAGGGUUUACAAUGUGGAUUCUACUGGCCUACAAUGUAUGAAGACACGAAGCAAUAUAUCAGAAGAUGUGGGCCAUGUCAAAGGCAUGGAAACAUAAACACAAGAGAUGCCAUGCCACUCACCAACAACCUUCAGAUUGAGCUCUUUGUUGUCUGGGGAAUAGAUUACAUGGGUCCAUUUCCCCCAUCAAAGAAGUGUGAGUUCAUCUUGGUGGCAGUUGAUUACGUCUCCAAGUGGGUAGAGGCAUUACCUUGCAAACACGCCGACAAUAUCAGUUCAAAGAGGAUGUUUGAAGAAGUUAUAUUUCCAUGAUUUGGAGUCCCUAGAGUAGUGAUAAGUGAUGGAGGAGCACAGUUCAUCGACUAACGCUUCAAGCACUAUCUAUCAAAACAUGGAAUCCAUCACAACGUCGCUACCCCCUACCAUCCUCAGACAAGUGGCCAAGCAGAGACUUCCAACAAGCAAACCAAGAAUAUUCUUUAGAAAACAGUCAAUGAGAUGGGAACGACAUGGAAGGACAAGAUACCCGAUGCACUCUGGGUAUACCAGACAGCAUAUAAGACCCCAAUUGGAAUGUCCCCAUACUAAUUGGUGUACGGGAAGACUUGCCACCUACCUGUUGAAUUAGAGUUCAAAGCACACUGGGCCAUAAGGAGAUGGAAUAUGGACCUAGAUGUCGCUGGAGAUCAACGAAGAAUGCAAUUAUCAGAAUUGGAAGAAUGGCGAGAGAAAGCAUAUCACAAUUCGAAGAUCUACAAAGAAAGAGUCAAAAGGUGGCAUGACAAGAGGAUCAAGAAGAAGGAGUUCACACCCGGAGAUAAGGUAUUGUUGACGGUCCUUAAGUACCAAAUAUAAUCAUCAAAUAAAUAAAGAAAAGGAUCCAAAUGCAACCAACACCCAGACUUAGGGUUUUAUCUGACAGAAUUCCAUGAGUUUUGGUGUUUGUCUAUUUCUGCAGGGGGUUAUCAGGAAAUAUGGGAGAAAGGCCCACACGUCGGGUUUACAUAGAGAUAUUAAUGUGCCGCACAAUUUUCUAUCAUCUAGAAGACUCCAGAAGCCAUGGGAUCGAAAGGUAAGGUGAUCGGGCCCGGGGGCAGGGCGCCCGCCCUCCCCCCUAGGGCGCCCGCCCUGGUGGAGAGUCCAAUUAGGACCUGUCUCACGGAUUACGCUCCACCGACCUAAAGGAUCAAGGACAACCGUUCAAUCAAUGUCGAUUUGAUCCAACGGCCCAUGUUCACCUGAGGGGACUAUAUAAGCAGACCCCCUGGCCCCUAGAGGAGAACAAGUUCAUUUUAGAGUUGAGAGGUGCCCUCGAAGGAUAACCUUUCCUCUACAUAGACUUAGGGCUUAGCAUCUAAUGUGAGAGUAGAAUUAGUUCUUUUAAGUUCUACUAGAUUGAGAGAGAUAGAGUGGAGGUGUAGAUCGGAGGAAGCCCGACCUGUCGGUGUCUACUCCGAGGUUAUACUUGCGGGAUCAAGUCUCCUAACCCAAGGCUUGCUCCUAGGAUUCUUCAGUAUUUCGACUUCUAAAUUCAAGUAAGUUCUUGUUCUUAUUGUUCUUUGGUUUAUGAGUUUACUUUAAUCUCUUCCGCUUGAGUUUAGAGUAAUCAUUGCUAGCGUAAACAUGGUGUUUGGGCUAGGGUACUCAUAGACAUCCCCUUACUAGCUAGACCGUGGUAGUAGCGAGGAACGUGACAUUUCCGAGUUACCUUUGUAGCCCACAUCUCGUUAGUAGGAUGGGUAGGGUUUAUAGCUACGGGUCGAACAUCCUCUGUGGUGUCUAGAUUCCGUGAGUCUCCCCAAUAGAACAGUAGAUCAUCCCUACCAAGGUUAGAAUGAGACUACGGUUGUAGUCUUCUCUAUACAUCGCUCACAUCGAAUCACAUUCAUUGUAGCCUAAAGGGUAGUAGCAAUAGAUUUGGUUAGUCAGAUGCACGCUUUCUCCCAAUGGUAAAAAUAUAAAUACGAUACUCUAGAUAACCUCCCGGGUGAAGUGCUCACCGAUAUCCGUGCGCUUGCGGAUCAUUUCCUGAUGGCGUUACCAAAUAUCAACAAGCAUUUCUCGCGCCGUUGCCGAGGAGAAAGACGGUUUGAUGAGAUAACUUUAAGUCUUGCUAUUAUCUUGUAUUAUACUUUUAUACUUUUAUUCUUUUAUCUUUUUUUUCCAUCUUUAUGGAUAACUCAAAUUCCAUACCUAUUAUUGAAUUAUUUGCACGGAGACCAGCCAUAGACCAUGGGAGUCAACGAGUCCUUUCUUUGCCCCUGAUUAUGAUCUGUGUCCGGAGUUGAUUGCAGUAGGUCAAAACCAACCCUUUUCUAUAGCUGAGGUCCUGUCUUUUAAUCAAGAAGAUAAUGAACUUUUAGCUACACUUAGGGAAUCUUUUAAUUUUUUUAUAAAUUCUGGUUUAAACCUAGCCCUACAAGACCAUAUUUUUUCUCGAUAUUUUCACAUUGGUCUUAAUCAUACAACCUUUGGUAGAGUCUUUCUUUCUUUAUCUAUUUGUAAAGGAAGGUAUGUCUUCAUUCGUGGACAUCCAUCUUGCACUAGUCUUCAUAAAAAAAUCCUAGAGAUAGAGAAGGAAUCAUCUCCCAGACGAGGAAAGGAUGUUUCAAUAGCCAAUUUCCAAACAUUUCAAUCCCAUGAUUCGGCUAUCCAACCCAAACUAGUAGUGCUCCAAAAUAAUCUAAGAGAAGAAGAAAUUCUACCUUUGGAAAUUCAUUUUGGGAUGAGCUUAAACUUCCUGCUUCAUAAGAGACCUUUGAGUACAUAUAGUUUGAACCUUCCUAUGAAGGGAUCUCUUAGAAAGCAUCUCAAAUCCAAUCCCUUUGAUGGACAUCUAGAAAGACUCAAGGACGGCAUCUUAAGUGAUGCAAUAGAAGGAGAGCGAAGCCAUUUAGAAGACAAUCUCAUCUUCUCCCCUUCUAUGCCCACUUUUGAUGACUCAUUCGAACCUAUCUUUAAACCCAUCCUUGAGCCUAAUAAUUUCUACUAUGCUCUUUGUCUUGAACCUCCUGAUGAUCCUAUGAAUCUCUCUAGACAUCCCAUGCAUAAGAGUGACCAAGACCACAAGGAGGAUCGAGAAGAGCAACAUCAAUGGCUAGAGGGCAUUAAAAAUCCAUGUGCUAUUACCAUUGAGGGGAUGGGCAAGGAAGAAGCCUUAAUGGAUUCUGACUUUGGCUCAAUUUCAAGUGGUGAGUUCUUGACUCCCUUUGAAGAUGAGAUUCAUCCAACUACAGAAGAGGACAUAGGUGAGACCAAUCUAGGAGAAACUCCGAACAUUCAGAUUGGAGACGAAGAUAACAUUAAUGUGGGAAGAGUUAAGUGUUGUUGGUGACAACAUUGUACUAAAUGAGGAAGAUGAUACUAUAACAUGGAGUUUUAACUCUAAUGGUCAAUUUUCAGUUCAAUCACUCUAUGCUAUUAUAAAUCAUAGAGGAGUUACACCUGUUUAUGUUCAGGCUGUCUGGAAGUUGAAUAUCCCACCUAGAGUCCAUUUUUUUCUGUGGCUUCUUUCAAAUAAUAGGCUGUUAACUAGGGAUAAUCUGGCAAAAAAAAGGGAUGUUAGCGAUCCUUCUUGCUUAUUUUGUAAGGACUGUGAAUCAAUCUCACACCUGUUUUUCCAGUGUUGUGUUGCUAAACAUGUCUGGGCGGCGUUUUCUAUUUGGCUAGAUAGGAUGAUGGGAGAGUAUUUUGAGUCGAUAACUUCCUUAUGGAUUGCAAAUAAGAGAUAUAUGAUCUGUAACAUUGUGUCAUCUACUGUUAUGUGGGUUUUAUGGAAAUUAUGCAAUUUGUUAUGCUUUCAGGGAGUACCUUGGAGUGGGAUGAAAAGAGUGUUCGCAAUGAUUGGACAGAUGCUAAGAGGAUGGCUUCCAAUGUUCAAGAUGGAUGUCCAGGAGAAAGUGGAGAUCAUCAUUCAGUUGGCGGAGACAGAAGCAAAAUCAGCGCUGCUGAUCAAGUGGAGGAUGGAUAUAUCCGAGUCGGUACAAUCAAGUGCUCAGCCUUCGGAGGUUUCUGGAAAUGCGACCAAUAUGACAUCUAAUAGGCCAUAGAUGGUGACUGGUUUUCUGUCGUGUCUAGCUCGUGUGACCUGUUUGGCAGGUUGGGGCAUUUUGUGUAUGCUUGGAACUUGGAUGAUGUAUGUCGCUUUAUGAUAAUAAAGCAGGGGGAACCUAUUAUCUAAAAAUGAGCAUGGAAUUUAUUUCAUAGCCACUUCGUUUACUCCAUACUCAUAUGCAACAUCUUCCCAAUCUAUUGGUCUCUCCAACAUCACCACAUUUGAGAUCUCCAACCCCCUCUUCCUUUCUAUUUAUAAAAACUUUAAAAGGGUGGUUGUCGAUGUAUAUGUCUAUAAUAAAUAUUGCAGAUAUCGAUGAGUCGAUCUUGAUAUAGGCACGCUUAGGUUGGUGUUGGAGGGGAAACCACUUCACCAACAUAAUUUUAUGGUUUCCCAAGGACAAGCUUAGUGUCCUAAGACAAGCACUUAUCAGAUCGUGACAUGAACUUCUAAUUAUUUGCAACAUUGCCUUGUGUAUUGAGCAUAUAAAGAUAAUUGUAGAAAUAUUCCUUCGGGUAUUCGUGUCACUAACCUUUCCAGGAUUGGAGCAAGAAGAUCGGAUGAAUGACAAGCACAAGGUAUGUCCAACCAAUCAUCAAGCAACAUUGAAUUAAAUUCAUCCAAUCUUGAAUUUUGCAAAAUUCAAGCUUGGGGGAGUACUUCACAUGAAAACAUCCUUUGCCAAGUUGCUAUGUUCGUUGUCCGUACCUUUGAGACAUGCUUGAUUUGUUAAAUACUAGUCACACUACUUCAUCUCCACUUGAGUAGAUCUCUAUAAAAGCCAUCAUGCUACCUUUGUUUAUCCUAGUAAGUGUUGGUUUGGAAGUACAAGACAUACUUCCAUUGGCAUUUAAAUUAAGCGUGGUGCUUAGGUUAAAUAGCCUUCCUUAAUCUGAUUAGACACGGAGUCUAGUUUGGUUACUGAACUAAAAACUGCUUGAGUAGGCAUUGGUGUAUUUUGUCAGACAAACCCCUACAGGAGAACUUUCAAUAUCAACCUGGGAAGUCCUAAGAUACAGACUCACAUUGGAGAUAAAGGAGACACAUGAAGUUUAAUGAUUUGCACAAGGACAUAGCUCAUUCAUUAUGGAGAGAUGAUCCAUGGAAGGAGACAAAGUAAAUAAACAAGAUACACACCCAUUACGAAUGGGAAGCUUCCACAAGGUGAGAUGGUACCAUCACUCUUCAAUUAAGGUAACAUCUUAAGGUACUUGACUAUCGCUUUUAUAAGCUUCUCCUUGGUUCUGGCGUUCACAUAAAGAGACAAACAUGUAUGAUUUAUAACUCCAAAUUAACCAACCCAGUUAAUUCAGCAUGUUUAGUCCUUUAAUCUUUGUUUAUAGUACUACCUUCGUGAUCCCACACUCCUAAUCAUAUAAGCUAAAAUGUUGCACAUUCAAUCUUUGGAAGAUAUAAGCAAAACAUAAAUAUAAAUAGAUUUAUUUUUCCAUUAGGUCAAGCAAUCUGAUCUGACAAAUGUUUUAAAUGCUACACUCAUGAUCUUAUUAUCCAUCAACUUUGUCUUGCUCACUAUGUUUAAGGUUAGAGAAGAACAAAUACAGUUUUGGUUCUAUUGGUGUUUUUCACCAACAGGGCCCAUGCACUUGAUCUCUGCCUUGUCUAUAUGAGCAGGUACACUUUGAGCAAAACCUAAAGGAGUUUUACAACUCCCAGACUCCACCAAGUGAAGGGCUUGGAUCUGCGAGCACAAACACACUGGAGAUACUAGACACUUAGGCAAUCACUGCCCUGAGAUGCUUGAGGACGUAAACUACAUCAACAACAACUACUACUACUACUACAACCGCCCUCAACAAAAUCAAGGUUGGAAUCAACAGAGGCCUAACUACUCAGAGAGGUGAUCCAGGACGCCCCGUCAUCCCGAUCUCCAUCGGCAUGAUGGACUUCCUAGAAGCACUCUGCGACUUUGGCUCCAGCUUUAACAUUAUGCCCAGUGCUUCCAAGAUUAGUCUCUACAUCAAGGGGAGGAAAGACGUUUUCCUCCAAGAACAAGACUACACAAAUCUUAGAGCAAUCCCGACAUGAACCAAGGAAGAGGACCAACAGGAGGAAUAGGAAUAAGCAAAUGUGGACCAAGUCAGCUAAGAUGAUCACUGCAGUUCAAGGAGUUCAAGAUCGUCGACUUAAUUCAUCAUUUCUGACCAAAAAAGAUGACCCAGCUCUAGAUGGCAGAUCAGGCAUUCCGAAAGGUUGAAGGUUAUUGACAUGGGAGAAGACGAGUACGAUCCACCCAUCAUCCUUGGGAGACCGUUCCUUAGCACCGUUAAAGCAAUCAUCUACAUUAGAACCGGAGAAGUCCACAUGCACCUCCCCUCUGAGAAGGUACGCCGCCAUUUUACUGACCCUAACUAUAUAGUUGAAGACUCUAAGCAAGUCAGGACAUCAUCAAGGACGGAUGGGCAGACUACGAAGGAGAAGUGGUAAGGUCUGAAGAUAUACAGCUUGAACAGAACUGUCCUGAGGAGACAGUAGCACCGAGUCAGGUGUAGAGAGAGAAGAUAGUUAUACACGAAGAAGAGGCGCCGCCGGAACCACUGACUACGCCAUCCAGCAAAUCCAGGACGACUGAGAAAACGGAGAGUCCCGUUCGGAGGACUUAAAACACCGAACGCCUUGCCAAGAGGUAAACUUGGUAGUUAUCCUCUUCCUUUCAAUAGUUUGCUUAGUUAAUCCGGUUCAUGCCAUCUCAAAAAGAAAAUAAAAAUGUUAAAAAUAAUAAGCCCCAUAUAAGUAUGCUCAUAGCAUAAAACCCAUAAGUACAUUCACUGUGGUGGCGUAAAAAUAAAAUAAAUAUAUUCUUGUCCUAUAAAAAUGAGAAUAUAAAAAUAAAUUUAUGAUCGUACCAAAGAGUGUAAUAUUUAUUGAGGAGGCUCAACAUGAUAAAGGCUAGAUAUUUAUGCUAACACUUAACCAGUUCCAUAAAGCUUUGUUGUCUAGUUGAGCUCCACAGAAUUCAAGGAUCAAAGAAGACUAGCAGACGGAGGACAUCCUAAUCGCUGUCAGGGUGCUGCCAACAUUCAAAUACACCUCUGCCACCUGCUAGCUACAUCAGAAGAAAUUACGUCAAAAUCCAGCUUGGGGGAGAGCACCCACAUUUAUCCAGCUAAGUGUUUCUACUUGCAUUUACACUUUACUCAAAAUAAUAAAAAGAUGCAUAAUCAUGAAAACCCAAAUAAAAAUUUUUGUGCUUAUUGUUGGGUAUUUUAAAUGCAAACAGAAAAAUCCGCAAGCGCACGGAUACUGAUGUAGCUUUCACCCAGGAGUAUUCCAGAGUAUUGAUUUUCCACAGGAAACAUGAGUGUACUAAUUAAGAUUUAGGAUCGCCCAAGGAUAACUAUAUAAGUAUUUUUUUGGUGGGAAGAGAGGAAGUUUCCUGAGAGUUCUCUAGUAGAUCUAAGAAUCAAGAAUUACUUCAAGAUUAUCUAUAUCGGGACAUCAGAGCACUAACCACAGAAAGAGAUGAGCAGGGGGCUAGAAAGGUCUGACUACGGUCCUACAAACACCGAUCCGAACGAGGUGGAAUACGUCGACCGUUAGGGCUGUCACUACCCUAAGGCUACCACAACAAUCCGCAGGAUUGGGUGCAAUUCCAGGUAAUUGCAAGACUAAACACCACAUCUAAUCUAUUAAUUACUACUCUAAUGUUUCAAAGGUUAGAGCACUUGAUGCAAGCAGGAAUCCAAUAAAUAACUUGAAUGUAAAUAAAAGUAAUUAAAGAACUCAGGAAUUAUGAGUUGAAGAACCUAGAGAACGAUGAAGAACGAACCAGUUGCUGCAAAAGUACAAUGUUGAGGAAGAUCCGACAGAUCCGGCUCCUCCUUUGCUCUCCUCUUCUCUCUCCAUAUUUUCUAGAUUACAACUAGAACUAACUAGAACUAGAACUAGAGGAACUAGAACUAGAUGAACUAGAACUAGAUCUAGAUGAACUAGAGGAAGAACUAAAAGAACUAGAGAGAUCCUCUCUACUUGGAUGAAGAAUUGAAACCCUAGCUUUGAUUCUGUAGAAGAGGUAUAAUCUGCAGGGGCCAGGGGGUCUGGUUUUAUAGUCCCUUCAAAUGAAUCUGGGCCGUUGGAUCAAACCGACAUUAAUCGCAUGGUUUUCCUUGAUCCUUUAGGUCGGUGGAGCGUGAUCCCCAAAUUGGACUCUGAUUGGGCAACAUAGGUGGGCGGGCGCCCUCAGGACUUGGGCGGGUGCCCUGUCCCUGAGUCCUCUCGGCCUACGAAUCGGUCCCGUGGCUUCUGGAGUCUUCUAGAUGAUAGAAAAUUGCGCGACACGUUAAUAUCUCUAUGUAAACCCGACGUGUGGGACUUUCUUCCGUAUUUCCUAAUAACCCCAUGUAGAAAUAGACAAACACCAAAACUCGUGGAAUUCUGUCAGAUAAAACCCUAAGUCUAGGUGUUGAUUGCAUUUGGAUCCUUUUUCAUGAUUAGUUGAUGGUUAAAUGUGAGCAUUAAGGACCGUCAACAAGCUCUCCCAAGCUUAACCUUUGCUCAUCCCUGAGCAAAGAUGGACUCAAGAGUUUCUGCAGUGGUUUUAUGCCUUAAGGAUACACAUGCGUUCAAACAAGAUCUCAUCUCUGAGUUAGGGUAAACUGUUAAUAUUUAAACUUACUCAUUUUACCUUUCACCAUGGGGCUUGUAACCGUCACUUAUGUCUUGAGCAGUUAAAAGAUAGAACGGUCUAGUCAAGCGCCAUGUCUCUUGUUCUUCGAUUAACUAUAGCUCUGGAGUUUUUGCAAAUUUUUAAAUAAAACUCAGAGAUUCCUUGUAUGACUCUCUCCGGUCUCUCAUUUGUGGUAUUUCUGGAUCCUUACCAUGGCAGUAAAGGUGUAUGCCUUCUCUCAAAGUAUGUGGUAUUUUUGGUAUGAGGCAUAGUGACAUUGCCUUCUCUCUCACCCUACUCUAAUAAGAAUUUUGAUAUCUGGAGCUCAUAGGUGGGAGAUAAAGUAUACAUACUUACAAGACAUUUAUUGCAUAGUCAAACCAUGGAUCUAGAUAAACAAGUCAAUAAGUCAAAUCAAGAUGUGCAUUUGUGGUGAAUAAAUGGUGAUAAUGGUGAUGAUGGUGAUAACAAUGGUCAAAAGUCUAAUUCUACUUAUGCUCUUUUGAGGGGAUACAUACCUUUCUUGCUCUUUUGAAACUUUUUGAGGAGAAUGAGAUGCUCUAUAUUUUCUUUUUCUUUCCUCUCAGGUGGGUAUCUUGUACCCCUAAUUCUAAUGUCGGACACUUGUCCAUUUUUACCUCUCGUCUCACUUUUUCUUUUCUUUCGAGGUUCCGGGCACUUGCCCCUUUUUGUUUCCUCGUAUCUUUUUUUCUCUCUCUUUUUUUAGAGCACUCAUCUCUUGAAAUAAAGUAGCAAGUGGUAGUAACCAAGAUAACUUGAGCAUUUAUUUCACAGGGGAAAAACAGAAAUGUUUUUGGCUAUUCUCUCCCGGAUUAGGAGUAGAAUAUUUUUGGGUUGUUGUGGAGAUAGAAAUGAGUGGAGGUAUGUGAAUGCGUACUUCCGGAGUAGAAGCAACAUGUGUGAGUGAACGUGCAAGUGAAUCUUGAUUUAACCACAUGACAAGCUCCUAAGUGUCUACACAGCUUGACCACACUCAAUGCUCAUAAGCAGUAGAAAGUAAAUGUAUGGUUCAUAGUCUAAUAAGCAUGUAUAUAUGGCUGUGGUAGGAUUUUAAACUCUCAUCAUACAGGAACUCAUCAUGCAAUAUUUUAGAGACUUUCAAAGAUAAAAUUCUCUAGAAUUCUAGCAUCUAUAGGAACAGAUAAACAGCAGCUCAACCUUCCCAUAUCGUAUCCGUUAACGACUUAGACUUUAGAUCAAGUACUCUCCCCACAAGUUCAGGUUUAGAGCAAAUCUUAAUUAAUACCAGUCAUGCCUAAACUUGAGAGAGAUUUCAAUUUUGAGAACUAGUCAUGGCAGAGCAACUAUUCAUCAUUUCCAUGUGAGAGCUUAUCAUGAGGGUUCAUAGCAAACUUUAUUUAUUUAUUUAUUUAUUUAUUUAUUUAGCAACUAAGCAAAGAUAUAUAUAUAUAUAUAAGCACAAAAUCUUUAUUUGGGUUUUUAUGAUUAUGCAUCUUUUUAUUAUUUGAGUAAAAUAUAAACGCGAGUAUAAACACUUAGCUAGAAAAAUGGGAGUGCUCUCCCCCAAGCUGGAUUUUGACGUAAUUCCUUGUGAUGUAGCUAGCAGGUGGCGGAGGUGUAUUUGAAUGUCGGCAGUACCCUGACAGCGAUUAGGAUGUCCUCCGUCUGCUAGUCUUCUUUGAUCCUUGAAUUCUGUGGAGCUCAAAUAGACAACAAAGCUUUGUGGAACUAGGUAAGUGUUAGCAUUUAUCAUGUUGAGCCUCCUAAAUAAAUGUUACUCUCUUUAGUAGGAUCAUUUAUUUUUAUAUUUUUUUCAAGAUGAUAUGAACCUGAUUAACUAAGCGAACUAUUUUAAAUAAUUGAAAGGAAAAAGAUAACUACCAAGUUUACCUCUUGGCAAGGCGUUCGGUGUUUUUAAGUCCUCCGAACGGGACUCUCCAUUUUCUCAGUUGUCCUGGGAUUCGCUGAAUGGCGUAGUCGGUGGUUCCGGCGGCGCCUGCUCUUCCUGUAUAACUAUCUUCUCUCUACACACCUGACUCGAUGCUACGGGCUCCUCAGGACAGUUCUGUUCAAGCUGUAUAUCUUCAGACCUUACUCCUUCUCCUUCGUAGUCAGCCCAUCCGUCCUUGAUGAGUUGUCUCCUCUGGUUGCAGUUGCAUCGUCUUCUUCUUGUCCUGACCUGCUUAGAGUCUUUAACUAUAUAGUUAGAGUCACUAAAAUAGCGACGUACCUUCUCAGAGGGGAAAUGCAUGUGGACUUCUCUGGUUCCAAUGGAGAUGAUUGCUUUAACGGUGCUGAGGAACGGUCUUCCAAGGAUGAUGGGUGGAUCGUACUCGUCUUCUCCCAUGUCAAUAACUUGAAAAUCUUUAACCUUUCGGAAUGUCUGAUCUGCUAUCUGAAGCUGAAUGUAUGUCGGUUCUAGGGGCAUGGUUCCGAACAGGAGCUGAUAGGUGACUGCGGCCAUUAUGUUGAUGUCAGAUCCGGUGUCGUAGAGUGUCUUCUGAAAAGAAUAUACGUUGAUUGUGCACUCGAUGCUUGGAACACCAGGGUCGUCCUUCUUGAUCAAGAAAUGUGACUUGAGUUGACGAUCUUGACCUCCUUGAGCUGCAGUGACCAUCUUAGCUGACUCAGACUACAUUUUCUUGUUCCUGUUCCCCCUGUUGAUCCUCUUCCUUGGUUCAUGUCGGGAAUGCUUUGAGAUUUGUGUAAUCUUGUUCUUGAAGGAAAACGUCUCCUUCCUCCCUUUGAUGUAGAAACUGAUCUUGGCAGCACUAGCGUGGAUUACCACUCCCGAUGUGUUCAGGAAUGGCCUCCCCUGGGUAUAAUGUUGACGCUAGAGCCAAAAUCACAGAGUGCUUCUGGGAAGUCCACCAUGCCGAUGGAGAUCGGGAUGACGGAGCGUCCUGGGUUUCCUCUCUGAGUAGUUACUUCCACAACGGGGUUACUACAGUAGUUACGUCCUCAAGCAUCUCAGGGCAGUGAUUGCCUGAGUGUCCAGUAUCUCCAGUGUGUUUGUGCUCGUAGAUCUAGGUUCUUCACUUGGUGGAGUCUGGGAGUUGUAAAACUCCUUCAUAUUUUGCUCGAAGUGUACCUGCUCAUAGAGACAAGGCAGAGAUCAAGUGCAUGGGCCCUGUUGGUGGAAAACACCAACAGAACCAAAAAUGUAUUUGUUCUUCUCUAACCUUUAGCAUAGUGAGCAAGACAAAGUUGAUGGAUAAUAAGAUCAUGAGUACAAUAUUUAAAACAUUUGUCAGAUCAAAUCGCUCAACCUAAUGGAAAGAUAAUCUAUCUAUAUUUAUGUUAUUUUUUUAUAAAAUAUAUCUUCCAAAGAUUGAGUGUGCAACAUUUUAGCUCAUAUGAUUAGGAGUGUGGGAUCACAAAGGUGGAAGGACUAAACAUAUUGAAUCGAUUGGGUUGGUUAAUCUAGAGUUGUAAAUCAUACAUGUUUGUCUCUUUUAUUCAUGUGAACGGAAGAACCAAAAAGAAGCUUAUAGAAGUGAUAGUCAAGUAGCUUAAGAUGUUACCUUACUUGAAGAGUGAUGGUAUAGUAUCACCUUGUGGAAGCUUUCCUUUCUUAGCAGUUGUGCAUCGUGUUUGUGGCACCCUCCAUGGAUCAUCUCUUGUGAGCUAUGCUUUCCUUGUGUGAAUUGUUAAACUUUAUGUGUCUCUCUCUUUGUCUCCAAUGUGAGUUUAUCUUAGGACUUCCCAGGUCGAUAUUGAAAGUUUUCCUGCAGGGGUUAGUCCAACAAUUCAAGAUUAUCUAUAUCGGGACAUCAGAGCACUAACCACAGAAAGAGAUGAGAAGGGGGCUAGGAAGGUCUGACUACGGUCCUACAAACACCAAUCUGAACGAGGUGGAAUACGUCGACCGUUAGGGCUGUCACUACCCUAAGGCUACCACAACAAUCCACAGGAUUGGGUGCAAUUCCAGGUAAUUUUAGGACUAAACACCACGUCUAAUCUAUUAAUUACUACUCUAAUGUUUCAAAGAUUAGAGGACUUGAUGCAAGCGGGAAUCCAAUAAAUAUCUUGAAUGUAAAUAAAAUUAAUUAAAGAACUCAGGAAUUAUGAGUUGAAGAACCUGGAGAAAGAUGAAGAACGAACCAGUUGCUGCAAAAGUACAAUGUUGAGGAAGAUCCGACAGAUCCGGCUCCUCCUCCGCUCUCCUCUUCUCUCUCCCUAUUUUCUAGAUUACAACUAGAACUAACUAGAACUAGAACUAGAGGAACUAGAACAAGAACUAGAUGAACUAGAACUAGAUCUAGAUGAACUAGAGGUAGAACUAGAAGAACUAGAGGGAUCCUCUCUACUUGGAUGAAGAAUUGAAACCCUAGCUUUGAUUCUGUAGAAGAGUAUGAUCUACAGGGGCCAGGGGGUCUGGUUUUAUAGCCCUUCAGAUGAAUCUGGGCCGUUGGAUCAAACCGACAUUAAUCACAUGGUUUUCCUUGAUCCUUUAGGUCGGUGGAGCGUGAUCCCCGAAUUGGACACUGAUUGGGCAACAUAGGUUGGCGGGCGCCCUGUCCCUGAGUCCUCUCGGCCUCCGCUUCGGUCCCGUGGCUUCUGGAGUCUUCUAGAUGAUAGAAAAUUGCGCGGCACGUUAAUAUCUCUAUGUAAACCCGACGUGUGGGCCUUUCUUCCGUAUUUCCUGACAACCCCCUGCAGAAAUAGACAAACACCAAAACUCGUGGAAUUCUGUCAGAUAAAACCCUAAGUCUAGGUGUUGAUUGCAUUUGGAUCCUUUUCCAUGAUUAGUUGAUGGUUAAAUGUGAGCAUUAAGGACCGUCAACACUUAUAUAUAUCUUUGCUUAGUUUGCCAAAUAAAUAAAUAAAGUGUCUAGGCCAAACUGAACAUAAAUGAUAAACUCUUAUAUGGAUAUGAUAAAUUGUUGCUCUACCAUGUACCUAGUUUUCAAGUUUGAGCUCUCUCUUAAGUUUAGGCAUAACUGUUAUAAUUUAAACCUGCUCUAAACCUAAACUUGUGGGAAGAGUACUUGAUCUGAAGUCUAAGUUAUUAACGGAUAUGAUAUGGGAAGGUUGAGCUGCUGUUUAUCUGUUCCUAGAGAUGCUAGACUUCUGGAGAAUUUUAUCUUUGAAAAUCUUUAAAAUAAGACAUGAUGAGUUCCAUAUGAUGAGAGUUUAAAUUCCUACCACAGCCAUACAUACAUGCUUAUUAGAUUUUGAGCCACAUAUUUACUUUUACUACUUAUGAGCAUUGAGUGUGGUCAAGCUGUGUAGACCCUUAGGAGCUUGUCAUGCGGUUAAAAUCAAGAUCCACUUGCAUGUUCACUCACACAUGCUACAUCUACUCCGGAAGUACGCAUCCACAUAUAUCCACUCAUUUCCAUCUCCAGAGCCACACAAAAGUAUUCUACUCCUAAUCCGGGAGAGAAUAGCCAAAAACAUUCUCCUAUUUCAGUUUUUCCCUAUGAAAUAAAUGCUCGACUUAUCUUGGUUACUACCACUUGCUAUAUUAUUUCAGGAGAUGAGUGCUCUGAAAAAAAAGAAAAGAAAAAAGAAAAAAUAUAUAUACGAGGAAAUAAAAAGGGGCAAGUGCCCGGAACGUCGAAAGAAAAGAAAAAGUGAGACGCGAGGUAAAAAUGGACAAGUGUCCAACAGUAGAAUUAGGGGUACAAGAUACCCACCUCAGAGGAAAGAAAAAGAAAAUAUAGAGCAUCUCAUUCUCCUCAAAAAGUUUCAAAAGAGCAAGAAAGGUAUGUAUCCCUUUAAAAGAGCAAAAGUAGAAUUAGACUUUCACCAUUGUUAUCAUCAUACACCAUUCACUCGCCACACAUGCACAUCUUGAUUUGACUUAUUGAGUUGUUCUUCUGGAUCCAUGGUUUGACUAUGCAAUAAAUGUCUUGUAAGUAUGUAUUAUCUGUCUCCCACCUAUGAGCUCCAGAUAUCAAAACCUUAUUAGAGUAGGGUGAGAGAGAGAGCAAUAUCACUAUGCCUCAUACCAAAAAUACCACAUACUUUGAAAGAAGGCAUAUACCAUUACUGCCUUGGAAAGGAUCCAGAAAUACUACAAAAGAGAGAUUUGAGAGAAUCAUAUAAGGAAUCUCUGAGUUUUAUUUGAAAAUCUGCAAAAACUCCAGAGCUAUAGCUGAUAAAGAACAAGAGACAAGGCGCUUGACUAGACUAUUAUAUCUUUUAACUGCUCAAGACACAAGUGACGGUUGCAAGCCCCAUGGUGAAAGGUGAAAUGAAUAAGUCUUAACAGUUUAUUCUAACUCAGAGAUGAGAUCUUGCUUGAACGCAUGUGUACUUUUAAGGCAUGAAACUUCUGCAUCAACUUUUGAGUCUAUCCUUGCUCAGGGACGAGCAAGAGGUAAGCUUGGGGGAGUUUGUUGAUGGUCCUUAAGUACCAAAUAUAAUCAUCAAAUAAAUAAAGAAAAGGAUCCAAAUGCAACCAAUACCUAGACUUAGGGUUUUAUCAGACAGAAUUUCAUGAGUUUUGGUGUUUGUCUAUUUCUGCAGGGGGGUUAUCAGGAAAUAUGGGAGAAAGGCCCACACGUCGGGUUUACAUAGAGAUAUUAACGUGCCACGCAAUUUUCUAUCAUCUAGAAGACUCCAGAACCCACGGGAACGAACGGGAUGGUUUUCUUCAGUGGGUUUUGGAGUAGAUAAAUUCUAGAACCCAGUGAAGAAUUCUGUAUUUUCACUUCUAGAUUCUAGUAAGUUCUUGUUCUUAUUGUUCUUUGGUUUAUGAGUUUACUUUAAUCUCUUCUGGUUGAGUUUAGAGUAAUCAUUGCUAGCGUAAACAUGGUGUUUGGGCUAGGGUAAUCAUAGAUAUCCCUGACUAGCUGGACCGUGGUAGUAGCGAGGAACGUGACAUUUCCGAGUUACCUUUGCAGCCCACAUCUCGUUAGCAGGAUGGGUAGGGUUUAUAGGUGUGGGUCGAACAUCCUCUUUGGUGUCUAGAUUCCGUGAGCCUCUCCAAUAGAACAGUAGAUCAUCCUUACCAAGGUUAGAACGAGACUACGGUUGUAGUCUUCUCUAUACAUCGCUCACAUCGAAUCACAUUCUUUGUAGCCUAAAGGGUAGUAGCAAUAGAUUUGGUUAGUCAGAUGCACACUUUCUCCCAGUGGUAAAAAUAUAAAUACGAUACUCUGGAUAACCUCCCGGGUGAAGUGCUCACCGAUAUCUGUGCGCUUGCAGAUCAUUUCCUGAUGGCGUUACCAAAUAUCAAUAGGUGUUACUUUUUAAUUCCAUGGUAAAGCUUUUCGGGCAUGGAAAACUCCAGAGUAAAUGGGAAGGACCACUCAAGGUAAUCAAUUCAUCAUCCCACGGAGUUAUCACACUUCAAAAUGACGAAGGUACGUUAUUCAAGGUAAAUGGUCAACGUCUUAAAUUAUUUUUAGAGCCCAAUAAAGAAUUAGAAGAGAUAGACGUGAUCCAUUUCCACCUACCCAUGGAGAAUUAGAGCCCGACCUUUUUAAUCUGAUGUUUUUGGACCACGUAUAUAUUUUUCGAAUAAAUUUUGCAUCUAGAAGCAUGCUCGAGGAGGCGCGCCCACAGAGGGGCCAGGCACAGGGCGGGCGCCCUGAUGAUGAGGGCAGGCACCCAGCCCCUGUUUCCUCUCAGUCCCGAUUUCCUCCGUCGCGAUAAACCCAUUUAUGGUAAACUAAAUAAUCAUGCGGAUGGAAUGUUUCGCACGCAUGGCGGCAGGAGUAGCAUGAGCAAACCCUAGAGGCGCUUUUUGACCCCUAUAUAAACAGACCCCUGACAUCAGUUUUCAAACACCAAUUCAUUCAAGCCUUCUCUCCUUCUUCUAUUAGAGCUUGCUUAGUCCAUCGCUGCUCCAAUGGCCGAUGAGUUCCAUGACGAUUGGGAGGUCGUCCCCUUCGAUCUCAACAAGAAGCCCAAGGAAGACCCCGACGCCUACGCUCUCGUCCCGGCCAACACAGAGCGACAGCUAGCAGCCAUGCCAUCACGCCAGCGUAGCUCCACCCAAUCCUACCGUGCUCAACCAGUUCUCACCACACCACUGCAGCCCCUACUCCUCAAGGGACCAUCAGCCAAGAACGAGGCCACCGUCAAGGUGCCAGCCGGCACGAGGAUCCUGCCACCCAGGCCCAAUGAGCGGGUCGUCAGAGUCAAGACCAACCGGAGCAGCGAGAUCAGUAGCAUCCGCAACACUAUGAAGGAGGAGAGGCCUUACUUCGAGGGGGUUAGAGCAGCCAAAGUCCACUUCAUCCCUCCGAAGACAGCACCGAAGCACGCUCUCAAUGCUCUCGAGACACCUCCUAAGCGCCGCAAGACUAUAGCAGAUGUAGAUGAAGACGUUCGUAGGCUAGACAAGGUCAUCAUAGAGCUCCAGUCCUCGGUUAACUCUAUCAAUAGGCAGCUCCGACCAGAACACCGUUAUACUUGGUCUUAAGCAUGAUCUUGCUAGUGCCAAUAAGAAGAUUAGGGAGUUAGAGCACCGCUAAGUUAUCUAGAUUAGAUCUUGAUGCAGUGCAUUUUAAUUAUUCAUCUUUAAAUUUGGUUUAGACCUAUUAUUAGCUUCAGUUCAUUACUAGUCAUUUGUAAUAACUGCCUCAAGAUUAAUAAAGAUUAUUAUUAUUAUUAUUAUUAUUAUUAUGUCUUGUGUCUACUUUAUUUUUUAUGCAAGAAAGCAGAAAACAAGUAUGGGGGAGAUCCCUCGACAUGCCAAACGCACUUCGACUACGCCACUCCAUGAUUCAGGUACAUACUCUGUACAUGUUAUACAUACACAUAUAUCUUGGUUCGUGCAGAAUAUUGUCUUUGACAUGAUAAAUAAACAAGAUUAAAAUGUUUUUAAUCAUGAUUAAUCUCACUCUGUGAUAUUUCCUGAAAACAUGCAAUUAUUAAAAAAUCAUUUUAAAACCCUGUGUUACUUAAGUCACUAUGGAAUAUGAGAUGGUAGAGUAUGAGUAUCUUAUUCUUGAUAUCAUUGUUGCUUGGAGAAUUUAUUUCAAAAUCUUCAAAAAUUCUAGCUACCAUCCUCAGUGUUUUAUAUGCCUGCUAAACCUGAAAAUUAAAUAAUUAGAAAAGCUAUAUGCUCUGUAUUGAGUUUGUUCAAAGCGAGUUAGACCCUUGUUGAGAGAUUUAUCAUACUCCUAUGAUCAAGACAUUUAUUCAGAAAGAUUCACACUUCCGAAGUAUUAUUGCGUUAGAGGCAUGGGCUAUGCAAAAAUAUAAGUAUUUCGAGGAAAUAAAAAGGAGCAAGUGCUCGACAACCUUGCAGAAAAAAUGGAUAAGUGUCCGACAGUAGAAUUAGGGGUACCUCGGUAUCCACCUGAAAAAAAAGAAGAAAAAAAGAGAGAAAAUGAGAGAAAAUGAUAGUCCAUGGUCCCUCUAAUAAGCAAUAUGCCAGUAAGAGUUGACAAGUUUUUAAUUUCUAAAGUCUUUGAUAUAAGAGUAUGACAUUCCUCUCCUCGGAUCCCAUUUUGAUCAGGCAAUAAAUGCAAGGUAAGAAUGCUUGAGAAUUUCUGCAAAUUAAAACAACCUCAGUGAGAUAUAUAAAAGAUAAAUGAGUGAUCUGAGAGAACCUAUGAGGAUAAAGGUAUGCUAAUUUCUUUUUCAAAAACAUACAAAAACUCCAAGUGGCAGGAUUGAGAAGAAAGGACCUCUACUCUUGACCAUAUAUUUCCCUGACUACGGUACACAGUGGAUUUUUACAACACCCUGCAGGUAUGAAGAGAAUGUUUUACAAUAUUUUAACCCAAGAUAUUUUUUUAACCAUCCUUUUCUGGAGGACGAGUAAAAGCCUAAGUAUGGCGGUGUUUGUUGACGGUUCUUAAGUAUCAAUUUUAAUUAUGAAAUAAACAAGGAAAAGGACUAAUAUACAAACAACACUUAGAAUUAGGGUUUGAUCUGACAGAAUUCCACGAGUUUUGCUGUUUAUCUAUUUCUGUAGGGGGUUGUCAUGAAAUAUGGAAGAAAGACCCACACGUCAGGUUUACAUAGAGAUAUUAACGUGCACCGCAAUUAUUCAAUAUAUAGAAGACUCUAGAAGCGACGGGAACGAACGGGAGGCCGAUCGGGCCCGGGGGCAGGGCGCCCGCCCUCCCCCCUUGGGCGCCCACCCACCUCUAGUGGCCAAUCACGGUGAAUCACACGGAUUAUGCUCCACCGCCUUUGAGGAUCAAGGAGAACCGUUCAAUCAAGGUCGGUUUGAUCCGAUGGCCCAGAUUCAUUUGAAAAGGCUAUAUAAGCAAGGCCCCCUGGCCCCUGGAGGGGAGAAUCCCAUUAUUCAUUAGCAUAUUUUCCAGAGAGGAUUCAGAGAGAGAGGUUCCUUAGGGUUCCCACCUCAUAGGGCGUAGCAAACAAUGUGAGAGUAGACUAGUUCUACUAGAUUGAGAGAGAUAGAGUGGAGGUGUAGAUCGGAGGAAGCCCGACCUGUCGAUGUCUACUCCGAGGAUGUACCUGCGGGAUCAAGUCUCCUAACCCGAGGCUUGCGCCUAGGAUUCUUCAGUAUUUCGACUUCUAAAUUCUAGUAAGUUCUUUGUUUUAUUGUUCUUUGGUUUAUGAGUUUACUUUGAUCUCUUCGCGUAAAGUUUAGAGUAAUCAUCUCUAGCGUAAACAUGGUGUUUGGGCUAGGAUACUCAUAGAUAUCCCCUGUCCAGCUGGACCGUGGUAGUAGCGAGGAACGUGACAUUUCUGAGUUACCUUUGUAGCCCAUAUCCCGUUAGCAGGCUCGAUAGGGUUUAUAGGUGCGGGUCGAACAUCCUCUGUGGUGUCUAGAUUCCGUGAGCCUCCUCAACAGAAUAGUAGAUCAUCCUUACCAAGGUUAGAACGAGAGUGCGGUUGUAGUCUUGUCUAUACAUCACUCACAUCGAGUCAUAUUGUUUGUAGCCUAAAGGUUAGUAGUAAUAGACUGGGUUAGUCAGAUGCACGCUUUCUCCUAGUGGUAAAAAUAUAAAUACGAUACUCUAGAUAAUAUCUCGGGUGAAGUGCUCACCGAUAUCCGUGCGCUUGCCGAUUAAUUCUGAUUGCGUUACCAAAUAUCAACACUAAGUGGUUAUCAAGUGCCACUAGGUGUCAUUGUUCAUGUGCAUGCAUUUAGAAUCUAGUGAGCUAACCUAACUCCUUCUAAGAAAAUGUUUGUGAAAAUGCUAAUACACGUGUACUUGUUGGUACACACUUAGUGGUUUUAGCACACUUUGAGAAGGAGGUUGAUGUUGAAGGGUAGAUAGGGGUUGGCUUUCUCUCACCGGACGCAGCACUGGAAGCUGAGCCUACGUGUCCGUGUGCUGUCGUGCUUGGCUCGGCUAGGGUCAAGUACCGGAUGCUGAGCACCGGACGCAGUGUAACUCCUGUUCAAGCGUCCGGUGCUAUCUGACUCAUAUGAGUGAACCUGACUGAGAGCACCGGAUGCGUCCAGUGGUGCGUGUCCAGUGCCCUUUUGUUUUGCAAACCUCUCUGGGUAAAGGACCGGACCCUUAGGGUGCAUCCGAUGAAGAGAGUGCGGUGCCCUGCGUGUUUUGCGAACCUCCCUGCGUAUAAGACUGGUGUGCACCGGAUGUGUCUGGUGCCAACCUAACUGCAUCCGAUGCUCUGUAGGUGACCGUUAGAGAUCGACGCGCGUAAGUGAAAAGGGUGACACAUGGCUGUUUCUAGCGCACCGGACGCAGGGGUCGAGCAUCCGGUGCCUCCUGCUCAGCGUCCAGUGACCCCGAUUUUUGCCCAGUGAAAGAGCCAACGACUCUAUUUGUUUGAGGGGCCUAUAAAUACGUGUUGGCCGGCUAGGGGCUCACUCUCUUAGCAUUCUAACAUACUUGACAUCCUUGUGAGCCUAAGCAAACACCUCCCACUCAUCUCCUUUAUAGAUUAUUCAUCUUUGUGGGAUUGGGAGUGAUUCCAUGUGCAUCUGCUUGAGUGAUUGCAUCUAGUGGCACUUGGGGAUCAAUUUGGCUGCGGUUUUCUUGUUACUCUUGGUGGUUGCCACCACCUAGAUGGCUUGGAGCAGCGGAGGAGGAUUGGCAUGAGUUGGUGAUUGUUCGAGGCCAUCUCCCGACGAUUGUGAAGGGUUUGUGCCUACCUCGGUGGAGAGCCAAAGGCAACAUUAGUGGAUUGCUUGUGUCAUUGAGCUACCUCACUUGUGGGUAGGUUCUUGUGGUGUCCUAGUGAGGACAAGGUUUGUGCUACACCUGUUAGCCAUCGAACCACCAAGUGUUGGUCGACACAACGGGGAUGUAGCGCGCCGGCAAGCAUGUGAACCUCGGGGGAAAAUCGUGUCUCUCCAUUAUGAUUGUUCUUUGGACUUCUUCCGGUGAUUGGACUUCAUAUUAUUGUGAUUGGUUCAUGCCCUACAUGGCGGCAUAAAUAUCUCUUCCUCUCCAUUUACUUACCGCAAAGUAGUGUAACUAGUUUAUUUGAUAGUCUUGCCUUGUGUAGCCUAGUUCACUAGUGUAGCUUGUAGUGACAUAGCUCUUGUGUGCCUAGUGAUCAUAUCAACUAGAAUUGUUGGAUAGGUUGCUUGCAAACACCACAUUAGAGCUAGAGCAAAAAGCUUUGCUUUGUCUUUUACUAACCUCUUGCUCUAGUGAGUUUGUAGAAUUUUUAAAUAGGCUAUUCACCCCCUCUAGCCAUAUUAGGACCUUUCAAGUGGUAUCAGAGCCGUGGUCACCGUUUUAUGAAGGCUUAACAACCUCGGUGCUCAAAUUAUGGCUCAAAUAGUGUUCAACCAUGUUGGGGGAAAACCACUAUUCUUUGAUGGCACAAGUUCUUUUGACUAUUGGAAGAGAAAGAUGAAAAUGUAUCUUGGAUCAAUAAAUGAUAGAGUGUGGGAAGUCACCGAAAAUGACUUAACCCCACCAACAAUGAGAGAGCAAACAAGCAAUGCAAUACUUUGGUUCUCAACACAAUAUACAAUGGCAUUGAUUAAAAGGUGUUUGAGCAAGCCAAAGAUCUUGAGAAGGAUAGUUGUGGGGGUAUAAACCCCUAUACCCUUACGGCUAGACUUUAGCCAGGAAGCUUGGCCCACUACGAGACGAGUUCAAGGUUUGAUCCGACAGCCCGAGUUUCGCGCAAGGAAACAAGACGUGGAGAUCAAGCAGGAUUCUAGUUGGUUAGAAUAGGAAUUGAUAUCGAAUUAUCUAUGGCGGUUGUAACCGACUAGGAUUAGUUUCUAGCUCUGUAACCCUGCCUUCCAGACUAUAUAAGGAGGGGCAAGGGACCCCCCUAGGACAUCAUAUUUCUCUCAGCACAAAUCAAUACAACCAGACGCAGGACGUAGGUAUUACGCCAACUCGGCGGCCGAACCUGGAUAAAAAGCUUGUCCGUGUCUUGCGUCACCGUCGAGUUCGUAGUUCACGCACCGUCUACCGAUAAACUACUACCGUGGGUAUACCCCAAGGUAGACUGCCGACUAGCUUUCGUCGACAGUGGCGCGCCAGGUAGGGGGUGUGCGUGCAACUUUUCCGGCGAACAAGAUGGUCACGAUCCCAGCUUCCGCGACCGUGCCCGAAGGCCUCACAUUCACCGUCGGCCAGAUCACGUGGACGACGUGCAGCGGCGGCUUCCCGACCACGGUUCCGAAAGAGAUCCAGAUCCAAUCUGAGAUCGCGCCGUCUCCGACCACACGCAUGACGGCACCAAGCUCCCGACCACCGUUCCCACUCUACAAGGGAAAGGAGAUCGACUGCUCGGACCUCCUCCAAGCGCUCGAUCGCGCUGACUCCAAGCUACUCGAAAUCUCCCAACUAAUAGAUGGAGUUCUGCGCCGGCCCGACCAAGCUGCUCGAGCGGAUUUUUCGAAAUCCCGCCGGCCAACUCGUGUCGCCACACACGAACGGCUGGGAACGUCCCUGACGAUAACCUCAACCCCCUCAGGACGAUCCGUCGAGCUCAAAAAGGAAGACUAUCCUCGCGGCCUGAACAACUCGGCCUCUGUUUACUCACAGCAUGUCCAAUCCGUUUUCAGCAAAGCGGGCUGGUCGCCGACGAGGAACAAUCGCCACCAUGUCAACAUGGUGACAAUCCGAGAGCUACGGGACGGCCAGGUUUCCAGCACCAACUCAAGCACCGGCUCCGUCCCCACCGAGGUUAUAAACACCGAAGACGAGGGCUACGACCUGGAUUUUCCUUCACACCCUCCGGGUUUCGACCGAUUCCCGAUAUUCCCCCCCCCGGCGAGGGGAUAUCGUGUUCAAUGUCAGCGCCGACGAACCAGCUGUUGACGGAGAAACAGACGACCAGAGGCAACUCCGCGAACAGCGUAACGCCGAUCGCGCCCGACGGCGUGCGGACGAGCAACAACAGAUGCCGCCAAGUAACCUCAACGAUGCCUUUGACAUGGUCGGGGACCAGCCGGUCUACAAAACGCCAAGCGCCAACGUGGCUGUCCCCAUGGCCAACCUGGAUCGGCUUCCUGACACCCCCGAGUGCCAGGGAGUCCGGACCAGCAUCCGAGCACACCUGAUCGCCGCAAUGGGACAGACAGCCACUCUGCUCAAGAGAGUCCAGGACGUCUCUUAUACGGAAGCCGCCUCCGACCAGACUAAUCGUAGCCGGGCCUCACCCAGCAGGCGUCGCCGCAGCCGCUCCCCCGACAACCGUCGAGGGGACUCACGGCGCGACGAUGGUGGUCGGGACGCCGAUGGCCGCCGCCAGCAGAACCGCGUACGCGGCCAAGAAGAAGAAGAUCAACACAGGGAUCUCCGCCACAACAUCCCUCCCAAAGAUGCCCGGGACCGCAUCAACAGGCGCGCCGCAGAGAGAGCAGUCCACGAAAACCUGCGCCGCAUCGAGUACGACGCGACCCACGGUCCUCCGGGCCUAAGGCAGUUCUCCUCACACCUCCGCCAGGUCGUGUGGCCCCGCAAUUUCAAGCUCGAAAAACUUAAAAAAUACGACGGCAAGGAAAAUCCUGAGAACUGGAUCACUCUCUACGAAAUCGCCGUCCGAUCAGCGGCAGGAGAUGAGCACGUCAUGGCUAACUACUUCCCCGUAGUCCUCGACCAGGCUGGUCAUCAGUGGCUUCUCGGCUUGCCCGAGGACUCCUUCGACUCUUGGGAAGAGCUACGACAGGCUUUCAUCGACAACUUCAUCGCCACAUGCGAGCAGCCCGGAAACAAGUAUGACCUUGAAAGGAUAAGAGACAGGAAGAAUGAACCUCUGCGCGAUUACAUCUGACGAUUCUCGGAUAUGCGUCUCAAAAUCCCGAAGAUUUCUCAUGACGAGGCCAUAUCAGCCUUUAUCAAGGGCUUGCGUUUCCAUGAAGCACUGAGGAACAAGCUGUUGCGUAAGCGCCCAUCAACGGUAGCAGAGCUCCUCGCCACGGCUAAAAAUUACGCCGAUGCUGAUGACGCAGAAAAACUAAUCCGAGACGAUGCGAGAGGCCCCGACCUGCCCUCCCGGCGAGAUGACGGUCGUGGUCGCUACGACAACAGAAAUCACCGCCGCUCCGACAACCGCGAUCACCGAGAGGGUUGGGAUCGGCGGCGCGACAGCCGCGACGACUUCAGAGGAAAGCGCCCUCGUGAAUACGACCACGAAGUAAAUACGGUCAAACGUCCCAACGGACGACGGGACUACCAAGACGACUACAACAAAACGUUGAAGGGACCGUGCCAGCUACACCCAAAGUCUAACCAUACCAUGGAAGAGUGCCGCGUCCUCAAAAGUAUCUAUACACGGCGGGCCGCCCAAGAGGACUCCGCCAAGAAAAAUAACAAACGCGACGGGCACGACCACGAAGAUGAGGAUGAGGACCAAGACAGGGACCCCCGACACCAAUACGUCAGCCCCACUGACGUGGUCCACUCCAUUUUCGGGGGCAAGGUCUCCACUGAGUCCAAGCGAGAAAGAAAGCUGUUAAAGAGAGCCUGCCUCAACAUAGACAGCACGGACGGGCUGAUCGCAGAUCCGAAAUUUCCCGCCUGGUCCCACAGGGAGAUCUCGUUCAGCAGGAAGGACCAGUGGGCCGCUAUCCCAGAGCCGGGUCGUUUCCCACUGAUUCUUGAUCCCUGCAUCAAUAGCAUCAGAUUCGAGCGCGUGCUCGUGGACGGGGGAAGCUCCAUCGACAUUCUCUUCCGCAACAGCCUGCCCGCCCUCAAGACAUCACCGGCGCAACUAAAACCUUACGACGCCCAAUUCUGGGGUGUUUUGCCAAGUCAAAGUUCGGUGCCCCUCGGACAGAUAACAUUGCCUGUCCAAUUCGGCACACCCGAUCACUUCCGGACGGAGUUCAUCAACUUCGUAGUCGCGGACUUCGACGGGACCUACCACGCCAUACUGGGCCGCCCAUCGCUGACAAAGUUCAUGGCAGUCCCGCACUACUCAUACCUAGUGCUUAAGAUGCCCACGGAGAAGGGUGUCCUAACCGUCAGAGGCAACGUCUACACGGCGUACACCUGCGAAGAAGAAAGCUUCAAGAUCACCGAGGCAAUUGACCUCUCAAUCCGCAUGGCGGAAACAGCAAACCAAGCCGCACAGCUGCCCCCCGACCAGCUCCGAUUACCUGAGCAGGAGACAGCCAGGAAAAAUUCGAAAUCCAAGGAGUACAAAGAAGUGCAGCUGGUCGAAGGCAACCCCGAGAAGACAGCCCUCAUCGGGGCUAACCUGGAUCCAAAAUAGGAAGACGCGCUCGUCAGGUUUCUAAGGGACAACGUGAGCGUUUUCGCAUGGAAACCCGCAGACAUGCCCGGUGUCCCACGAAACCUGAUCGAGCACUCCUUAAACAUCUCGAAGACCGCAAGACCAAUCAAGCAAAAACUGCGACGGUUCGCUCGUGACAAAAAGGAGGCUAUUAGGACAGAAAUAACACGGCUUCUAGCAGCCGGAUUCAUAAAAGAAGUGUAUCAUCCCGAUUGGCUCGCCAAUCCGGUUCUUGUACGCAAAAAGAAUAAUGAAUGGAGAAUGUGCGUUGAUUACACCGAUCUCAACAAACACUGUCCUAAAGAUCCUUUUGGUCUUCCUCGCAUCGACGAGGUGGUCGACUCAACGGCCGGAUGCGAACUCCUCUCCUUUCUAGAUUGCUACUCUGGUUAUCACCAGAUCUCGUUAAAGGAAGAAGAUCAGAUCAAAACAUUCUUCAUCACACCCUUCGGCGCAUACUGUUACACUACCAUGUCUUUCGGACUUAAAAACGCCGGGGCCACUUAUCAAAGGGCCAUCCAGCAAUGCCUCCACGACGAGAUUCGUGAUGACCUCGUCGAGGCCUAUGUGGACGAUGUGGUCGUAAAAACAAGGGACGCGAGCACUCUAAUCGACAACUUAGACCGAACCUUCAAGGCACUCAAUAGGUACAAGUGGAAGCUCAACCCCAAGAAAUGCAUUUUCGGCGUUCCUUCCGGUCUACUGCUCGGCAACGUCGUCAGUUGCGACGGCAUACGACCAAACCCUUCAAAAGUCAAAGCCGUACUCGACAUGCGACCACCGAAGAACGUCAAGGAUAUUCAGAAGCUAACAGGAUGCAUGGCCGCCCUCAGUCGUUUCAUCUUGAGGCUGGGAGAAAAAGGCCUCCCUUUCUUCAAGCUACUGAAAGCGUCAGAAAAAUUCUCUUGGACAGAGGAAGCCGACGCUGCGUUCACUCAGCUUAAGACCUUCCUCACUUCACCGCCUGUCCUCACAGCGCCUCAGCCCAAUGAAGACCUACUCCUUUACAUUGCCGCAACCGACAGGGUUGUUUCCACGGCAAUAGUGGUCGAGCGAGAUGAACCAGGUCACGUCUUCAAGGUCUAGAGACCCGUUUACUUCAUAAGUGAAGUUUUAAACGAAUCCAAGGCCAGGUACCCACAAAUACAGAAGCUUAUAUACGCCAUCCUGAUAACGUCAAGAAAGCUGAAGCACUACUUCGAUGGCCAUCGAGUCCUGGUGACAACCAGUUUUCCUCUCGGGGACAUCCUGCGCAAUAAAGACGCCAAUGGCAGAAUCGUGAAAUGGGCAAUGGAAUUAUGUCCAUUUUCCCUAGAGUUCCAGAGUCGCACCACUGUCAAGUCUCAAGCCCUGGUCGAUUUCAUUGCCGAAUGGACGGAUCUCAACGAGCCUUCCGUUCCAGACGUCUCAGACCACUGGUCAAUGUUCUUUGAUGGGUCCUUGAGCAUCAACGGUGCAGGCGCUGGGAUAUUGUUCGUAUCACCCAACAAGGACAAACUCCGCUACGUCCUUCGGAUCCUUUUUCCGGCGUCAAACAAUGUCGCCGAAUACGAAGCAUGCUUACAUGGCGUACGACUAGCCGUUGAACUGGGGGUCAAGCGCCUCUAUGUCUACGGCGACUCCACUUUGGUCAUCAACCAGCUCAACAUGGAGUGGGACGCAACCCACGAGAAGAUGGAUCUCUUCUGCAAAGAAAUUCGCAAAUGGGAAACUAAUUUCUAUGGCAUAGAGUACAUCCACGUGGUCCGGGAUAAGAACCAGGCAGCAGAUGCGUUGUCAAAGUUAGGCUCGUCUCGGGCCCAAAUCCCGCGGGGUAUUUUCGUCCAGGACAUCCAUGAGCCGAGCGUAAGCUCCCCCCUGGUCAACAAGCAACCCACCGAGGCAAUGCUCAUAGAUGACGCCACUCCGACAACCGGUGGGCGUGACUGGCGUAUCCCGUUCAUCAAAUACAUAUCAGACGGGAUAGGCUUUCAGGACAAAACAGAGAACGAGCGUCUCAUCCGACGAUCAAAGAACUACAUCCUGGUCGACGGAAAACUCAUGCGGAAAAACGCAAGCUCCGAAGUACUGCUCAAGUGCAUACCCCAAGAUGAUGGUAUCAAGCUCUUGGAAGACAUACACGCCGGAUCCUGCGGCAACCACGCCGCAUCUAGAACGCUGGUCGGAAAGGCUUUCCGAGCAGGUUUUUAUUGGCCAACCGCGGUCAGCGACGCAGAAAAACUGGUUCGGCAUUGCGAAGGAUGUUAGUUUUUCGCUAAGAGGACCCACGUACCUGCCCAUGAAAUUCAAACCAUCCCGGCGUCUUGGCCCUUUGCUUGCUGGGGGCUUGACAUGAUCGGACCAUUUAAACCAGCCCCGGGCAAUUUUAAGUUUGUCUUCGUGUUAAUCGACAAGUUCUCCAAGUGGAUUGAAUACAUGCCCCUGGUCAAGGCAACCUCCGAGAAGGCUGUGGAGUUCCUCAAUCAAAUCAUACAUAGAUUCGGCAUUCCGAACAGCAUAAUCACCGACCUGGGCACUCAGUUUACUGGCACCACUUUUUGGGAUUUCUGCGAUGACAGAGGCAUAGUCAUAAAAUAUGUGUCAGUGGCACAUCCACGUGCCAACGGUCAAGUUGAACGUGCUAACGGAAUGAUCGUUGAUGCCCUAAAGAAAAGGUUGUACACCGAAAACGACAGAGCACCCGGUCGAUGGAUGAAAGAAUUGCCGGCAGUGGUCUGGGGCCUCCGAACUCAGACCAGUCGAAACACGGGGGUGUCUCCCUACUUCAUGGUGUACGGUGCAGAGGCGGUCUUGCCGUCUGAUAUACACUUCGGGUCUCCUAGAAUCGAGCACUUCGACCAGGCGACCGCCGACAACGCCAGAGGACUCGAAAUCAAUUGCAUGGAGGAAAAGCGUUUAGUGUCGUGUCUCCGAACAGCAAAAUAUCUCGCAGCAGUCAGGCGAUACUACAACAGGAAUGUCAAGGACCGUUCUUUCGUGGUCGGCGAUCUGGUGCUUCGAUGGAAAACAAGCCAGGAGGGAAUGCACAAGCUAUCCACUCCCUGGGAAGGACCCUUCGUGGUGACCGAGGUCACACGACCUACGUCCUACAGAUUGGCAUACCCAGACGGAACACGAGUGCCUAACUCUUGGCACAUCGACAAGCUGCGACGUUUCUAUCCAUAAAGUUUUAGUGACUUUCUUUUGUAAGUAUCUUAUAAUUUUUGAUAAUAAAAUUCUCUAUUUUUGGCCCAUACCUUGUCACACACAGCACUCGGCAAAACUCCUGCAACGGAUGCUCUUAGCGACAACCAAGACAAAUACGGUGACACGUCACUCAGAUAUUCUUACAGCGCUCAAAACAACAGUCAUGACAAAAAGCAAACUUUAUUACAAACUUUACAUACAAAGUUUACAAUAAAUACCCUGACGGGCAGACACUAGUCUAUUCCUACAGACUACUUUAUUGGCCUGGCUGCUCGGGCUGAUCACCCGCCUGGCCCUGCUGCCCGGACGAAGGGGUCGGGGCCACCGGCGCCUGGCUGGUCGAGACCGCAGGCGUCGACCGCCCAUCUCCCGCAACGGACGCGCCCGACAACUCCCUGGCCGACCUAUCUGAGCUCGGCUGGUCUGGAGGAGUGGCCGUUCUGCACAGAUUGAUGUCGCCGAUCACUGUCGACGACAAGUCCAGCAGAUUCCCCCGAAGUUCGUCCACUUCCUGUGGGCCGACUUCCUUCGGGUACCCCUUCUCCAGCCUGCUCAAGUCGACCAGGGGGUAGUGGGCGCGCACCAUGCUGAGGACGUGCGCGCCGGCAAACUCCCCGGCGUCCUUCACAAACUGCUGGAGCCAGUCCCACGCCCGUUGCGCCUUCUCGACCGGGGUCAACUGCGGCGCGCGGGGCUGGCUCUCCGGGAGCUCGGGACUGAUCAGGUCUAGGACCGGGGACACUCCUUUCCAGAUCCUGCAACAGUUGGCCUUCCAGGAGUCCCGGUCCUUGAUCAGGUCAUCCAGGUGCUUUUUGGUGUUCACCUUGAGCACUGCAAACGAAACGAAACAUUAUUUUCGGCAUACCAGACAAAUAAAGGGGCAGGCAGCAACCAACAAGGCGGCACCCAUUACCAGCUAACUCCCGGUCUUUUCGUCCCAAUUCCUCUUCCGCUCGCCGCCCGGACUCCUGCGCACCGGCGAGCUGUUGGCUGAGCUGCUCCUUCUCUUGUUGGAGGCUCGCCACCUCCUCCUCCAAGUCUGCGUGAAUCCUAAACUGGUCAGCAAAGCAAACUAUACAAGUACGCAAAACUGCUCGGAGCGUGUGACUAACCUUCCUGCAGCCGGUACUGGUCGGCCAGACGACGAGCGAGGUCGAGACGACGCUCCUUUUCGGCGCUCAUAUCGACCACCUUCUCCCCGACCUCCGCCCGCAACCGGUCUACCUCCGCGGCAAGGGCCUUGUUCUCGGCCAUGACGCCUUCUAUCUGGUCAAAGCACCGUUUCCGGUACUUCGCCGUUUUCAUUACGUCCUACAGAGCAAGCAUAUAACGAUCAAGCAAGACAAGGCAAAAGAAUGCGCAGCAGUACAAAAAGCCGCUUACCUUGACUUCGUCGACAAGGCGCUUGGCCGCGCGCUCCACCCUGGCGGCCUCUUCGGUCUCGGCGACCUCCUCAUGACCGAUAAAGUGAUCCCCGCGUUGGCGCCACACAUACACGUGUUGGCGGCCAUCACGGGGACGACCCUCGAUCUCCUCCACCUCGUCGUCGGAGGCCGCCCGGGUUUCCUCCUCCUGUGCUGCGUCACCCCCGGUGGUGGUCCCAGGCAUUACUGGCCCUUGGACCAGACCUGGGGAGCCCGCAGCCGAAGAGGCUCCUGCUCAGGGCGGCGGGGGGACUUCACUCCCCCCGGCAGGAGGAGCGGUCGGAGAUCUUCCCUUCUCCGAGGAGUCAGUUGGGGGAGCCUCUCCAGCCCUGGUCGGGCUGCUUGUUGUAGUCGGCGCCGCGCUCGGGAGCCCCUCGGUGCUCCCAGGCGCGACUGCAGCUGUUGGCUGCUCUGUGGUCUGGGGGGCCGCAUCCCCAGAACCGCGGGUAGGCUCGCCCGUUCCCUGGCUGGCAGUUUGACCAGGGUCGACAUCCGAUGCCGCACUACAGGAACAAAAGUUAAAAAAAAAAGACGAGUCCAAAAUACGUAAGUCGAACACUUACAGGUCUGACCGACGGUGGGUCGCGGUGAACCUCCUCCUCGCCCGUCCGGUCGGCACCUGUGCCCCUGUCUCGACACCUUGCGGGGCAGCGGCGCCGCUGGCCACUCGAUCAGUGGCGACCGGCGCAGUGUCUGGGCGGCUCCGAGGCCGUCGGACCAACGACGGCGCAGCCUCCUCGUCGUCGUCGUCGUCGACGAUCCACACGAGCCGACGACGCUUCGGCGCUUGGCUGCUCUCCGCCGGUAGAUCUGCCGGCAGCUCCGGUGUCGGCAAGGGAUCUGCCGGCAAUGGCCUUUUCCCCGCUACCCUCUCCUCGGAGGUCGGGACGGGGCGGGCUCGGUCUUCCUCACUGCUGGUGUAAUGAGUACACCGAGCAGCGUCCUCCUUUGGCGGGACCUCUCCCACAGGAUCUUCCAUCCCCGGUGCCAGUGAUACAUACACUGCGCACCGGUCGACAUCACCGACCUGCAAAAGCAACAGAGAUGAGUUAACUGCACACGAUAUACGAAUGAUCAAACAGACUCUGCUACAUACCUUUGGUGCUGGUCGUCCUAACUUGAAGGCUUGCACCCGAUCACUGCCACGGAUGAAGCCCCCAUCCGCGAAGUUAAACAGCUCGUUCAACAGCUGUUGUACCUCCGCUUUCACCAAGAUCUCCGACCGCAUCCUGGUCGGGUCUGCGCUUCCGGCAUACUCGUACGCCGAGUGCACCCUCUUCUGGCAGGGCAUCACCCGGCGGCAAAUGAAGUUGCCGACCACGCCAAGCCCGUCUAGGCGCGACCAGUCGAUCAGCUUCAUGAGAUCCGCCACUGGACCAUUGAACUCCGGGCGGUCGGUCCAGCUUGCCCUCUUCUCGGGAACGUAUCCCACGUCGCAGAAGGUGGAGCUGCCCGGUUCCUCCCUGAUGUAGAACCACUUCCUGUACCAUUCGGUCAAGGAAGUGUUCCAUGGGCAGUGCAGGUAGCGAUUCUUCAUCCCAUCACGAAGGUUGAGGUAUACUCCACCUGCAACCUUGGAGCCUCCAACUGCUCCCUUCUUCCUCAGACAGAAAAGAUACCGGAAAAGAUCGAAGUGCGGCUCUAUGCCAACAUAGGCCUCGCACAGGUGGAUGAAGGUGGAAAUAAGGAGAAUUGAGUUCGGGUGCAGAUUGCAAAUCCCGAUCUCAUAGUACAAAAGAAGACCUUGAAGAAAAGGAUGGACAGGAACACCAAAGCCUCUCUUAAUGAAAUCUUCAAAAACGACGAUCUCACCGGCGCGAGGGUCGGGGUAGCUCUCCCCCUCCGGUGCCCUCCAGCCGCCGAGCUCUGCGCCGUGCAGAAGCCCCAUAUCGACGAGGUCACCAAGAGAUUUUGUGGUGCUGCGAGACUUCUUCCACUCCUUGGCCAUCAGUUCGGCCCUCUUCCUGGAGUCGCUCUUCGCCAUUAGAGGUGCGAAUGUGGGCUGGAGUUAGGAAGAUGCAGGAGAUUGGAGAAGAUGAGAGCGGAAGGUUUGAAGGCAAUGGCAGGAGAAGCGGUACAGGCGGUCCUAUUAGGCCCUUAUAAACCCGCGACCCCACCUCUCCCACUUCCUGUAUUCUCGGGAAGUAGGCAGGCCAUGCGGCGGACGCGGCGUUUCGGUUUACAAUGAUUAUAGACAAUUAAUGCGGCGGAGUUUUCGUACCAAUUGAUGGUUUCCUUUUCUCAAACCAUGCAAAGAGCGGUUGUACAGUUGCCAGGUGCAGCUUUUCAUGCAUCCGUCUGACAUAUCGUCAGGAGACCCCGUCACGUCAACUUUAAUUGGAAAGAUCUUUUCAAAAGUAAGAAGACACAUACGCCAGUGAGUCAGCAAUUCGGGGACUGUACCGACCACCGAGCACUCGACGCUCGGGGACUGGUCGCCCAGUCUAUCAGCACGGAACUUCAAGGACUGCACCGACCACCGAGCACUCGACGCUCGGGGACUGGUUGCCCAGUCUAUCAACUCAGAACUUCAAGGACUGCACCGACCACCGAGCACUCGACGCUCGGGGACUGGUUGCCCAGUCUAUCAACUCAGAACUUCAAGGACUGCACCGACCACCGAGCACUCGACGCUCGGGGACUGGUCGCUCAGUCUAUCAGCUCAAAGCUUUAAAGCAUGCACCGACCACUGAGCACUCGACGCUCGGGGACUGGUCGUACAGUAUAGCAACAUAUAAUUCCAAGAAGCACACUAAGUGUCUGGGGACUGGUCGAUUGGUCUUUUCGAUUGCAGACGAGCAUGACAUGCUCGGGGACUGGUAAAUUCAAUUUUUUAGACCUUGCUACAAGGCUCAUACUUCGCCUUCCAGCAAGCUCGGGGACUACAUCGGUACGAUGCAUCUAGCGAUGCAUCUCAGUCUCAAAACUACUUUGGGGAAUUUUCUUUUGACCCUGGCACCACGUGCCUACGCCACCUACUACCAGGCUCGGGGACUAAGUGGGCACACUUCACCUAGCGGUGAAUUUGCUUGCUUUUUUGAUGCUUCUACCUUUCAAAAAGGCAAAGUGGGCACACUUCACCAGGAAAGAAAUUUUUUUUAGAGCACCAUGCAUUCUUCGAACAACCUGCUUCUUCGAUGUCAACGUUGAUCAAUUGUCUUUCGAGUUGGUCAAGGAACUGUUGCAACUGUUUGGGCGAUUUCCCUGCUUAUUGGAGACGACAAGCCUCGCUGAUCGAAGAAGCUCAAGACGGCGUGUUGCAUCACAAUACAUGGCGCUCGGGGACUAGCUGUGGGGGUAUAAACCCCUAUACCCUUACGGCUAGACUUUAGCCAGGAAGCUUGGCCCACUACGAGACGAGUUCAAGGUUUGAUCCGACAGCCCGAGUUUCGCGCAAGGAAACAAGACGUGGAGAUCAACCAGGAUUCUUGUCGGUUAGAAUAGGAAUUGAUAUCGAAUUAUCUAUGGCGGUUGUAACCGACUAGGAUUAGUUUCUAGCUCUGUAACCCUGCCCUCCAGACUAUAUAAGGAGGGGCAAGGGACCCCCCUAGGACAUCAUAUUUCUCUCAGCACAAAUCAAUACAACCAGACGCAGGACGUAGGUAUUACGCCAACUCGGCGGCCAAACCUGGAUAAAAAGCUUGUCCGUGUCUUGCGUCACCGUCGAGUUCGUAGUUCACGCACCGUCUACCGAUAAACUACUACCGUGGGUAUACCCCAAGGUAGACUGCCGACUAGCUUUCGUCGACAAUAGUGAAGUGUGGACAAGGCUUGAAGAAACAUAUGAGGGCACUACAAUGACAAAAAGUGCCAAGUUGUACAUGCUCAAGGACAAGAUUUCAAACUUCAAGAUGAAGGAUGAUGAAUCAAUACCGGAGAUGUUCUAUAGGCUCCAAGUCAUCAUCAAUGAUCUCAAGGGCCUUGGUGAGAAAGUAAAGGCUGAGGACUUCAUUCACUAGUUCUUGAUGUGCUUGCCCAAGAGGUUCAAGACAUUGAGAACAAUCAUCUUUAGAGGUGGAUUGAAGGGUGUAUCUCCCAAUGAGGUACUUGGAGAUGUAAUGACCUAAGAUCAAUACAAUGAUAAUGAUGAUGAUGAGGUCAUGAAGAUGGAUGAUGAUGACAAGAAGAAGAAAAGUGUAGCAUUCAAAGCUAGCUCUUCAUCUAAGAGCAAGAACAAGGGCAAGGCCAAGAAGAAAGAAUCAAGUGAUGAGGAGUGCUCCAAUGAUGAUAGUGAUGAUGAAGCACUAGCACUCUUCGUCCGCAAGUUUGGCAAGAUGAUGAAGAAGAAGGGCUAUCACACAAGAAAGAGAAGAGAUCACUUCAAGAACAAGAAGCAUGUGAGGCUAUGCUACAAGUGCAAGAGCCCGUAUCAUAUUGUGGCAGAUUGUCCAUAAAAUAGUGACAUUUAUGAGCAUGACAAGAAGAACACGAAGUAGAAGAAAGAAAAGAAAGAGAAGAAGAUGGUCUUCAAGAAGCAGAAGAUGGGUGGAUCCUAUGUUCUAACAUGGGAUAGUCAUGCUUCUUCAGAUGAUGAUUCUAGUGAUGAUGACAAGUCAUCUAAGAAGAAGGUGCUUGCAAGCAUUGCUAUCAACAAGCCAUCACUCUUCGAUACUCUUUCAUGCUUCAUGGCCAAGGGCCACAAGGUACAAUAUGAUGAGAGUGAAAGUGAAAGUGAAAAUGAACAUGAUAGUGAUAGUGAUAAUGAUGAUGAAUUCACUAAUGAACAACUCAUGGACAUGCUAGAACAAGCCAAUUCACUUAUUCAAUCUAAAAACAAGAAGUGCAAAGAAUUGGCCAAGAAGUGAAAAGCUCUUGAGCAAUCCUUUGAUGAGCUCAAUGCUAAUCAUGAGAGGCUAGUGGAAGCCCAUAAGAAGCUUGGCAAAGCUCACACCAAGCUUGAGAAAGCUCACUUCUUGUUGUUAGAAGAGAACAAGGAUAUCAUGUGAUGUGGGAACAUCAUGUGACUUAAUUAAGGAAUCACUAAAUCCACCCAUUGUUGUUGCCACUAACUCUUCUUGUAGGUCUUCAUCCAUCACCACCAACUCUACCUCCACUUCUAGUGUUAGUGUCAUUUGUGAUGCUUCACUAAAGGUUGAGAAUGAGACUCUCAAGAGAGAGGUGGAUGAACUCACUCAUGCCCUAGGCAAAGCCUAUGGUGGUGAGGCCCGCUUGCUAAAGUGCUUGGGUAGCCAAAGAUUUUCUCACAACAAAGAGGGAUUAGGCUAUACCCCCAAGAAGGGCAAGAAGGCCUUUACAAAUCACAAGCCUAGCUUUGUGAAGAGCAAUGGUCGUUAUUGCAAUAAAUGCAAGCAAGUUGGGCACCUAGAGCUUAAUUGUUGUUGACGGUCCUUAAGAACCAAAUAUAAUCAUCAAAUAAAUAAAGAAAAGGAUCCAAAUGCAACCAACACCUAAACUUAGGGUUUUAUCUGACAGAAUUCCACAAGUUUUGGUGUUUGUCUAUUUCUGCAGGGUAUUAUCAGGAAAUAUGGAAGAAAGGCCCACACGUCGGGUUUACAUAGAGAUAUUAACGUGCCGCGCAAUUUUCUAUCAUCUAGAAGACUCCAGAAGCCACUGAAACGAACAAGAAGGUGGUCAGGCCCGGGGGCAGGGUGCCCGCCCUCCCCCCUAGGGCGCCCGCCCUGGUGCAGAGUCCAAUCAGGACCCGUCACGCAGAUUACGCUCCACCGACCUAAAGGAUCAAGGAUAACCGUUCAAUCAAUGUCGGGUUGAUCCGACGGCCCAGAUUCACUUGAGGGGACUAUAUAAGCAGACCCCCUAGCCCGUAGAGGAGAACAAGUUCAUCAUAGAGUUGAGAGGUGCCCUCGAAGGAUAAUCUUUCCUCUAAAUAGACAUAGGGCUUAGCAUCCAAUGUGAGAGUAGACUAUAUCUACUAGAUUGAGAGAAAUUGAGUGGAGGUGUACAUCGGAGGAAGCCCGGCCUGUCGGUGUCUACUCCAAGGUUGUACCUGCGGGAUCAAGUUCUCCUAACCUAAGGCUUGCUCCUAGGAUUCUUCAGUAAUUCGACUUCUAAAUUCUAGUAAGUUCUUGUCUUAUUGUUCUUUGGUUUAUGAGUUUACUUUAAUCUCUUCCGGACGAGUUUAGAGUAAUCAUUGCUAGCGUAAACGUGGCGUUUGGGCUAGGGUACUCAUAGAUAUCCCCUGACUAGCUGGACCGUGGUAGUAGCGAGGAACGUGACAUUUCCGAGUUACCUUUGCAGGCCACAUCUCGUUAGCAGGAUGGGUAGGGUUUAUAGGUGCGGGUCGAACAUCCUCUGUGGUAUCUAGAUUCUGUGAGUCUCCCCAAUAGAACAGUAGAUCAUCCUUACCAAGGUUAGAAUGUGACUACGGUUGUAGUCUUCUCUAUACAUCGCUCACAUCGAAUCACAUUCUUUGUAGCCUAAAGGGUAGUAGCAAUAGAUUUGGUUAGUCAGAUGCACGCUUUCUCUCAGUGGUAAAAAUAUAAAUACGGUACUCUAGAUAACCUCCCGGGUGAAGUGCUCACCGAUAUCCGUGCGCUUGCGGAUCAUUUCCUGAUGGCGUUACAAAUAUCAACAAGCAUUUCUGGCGCCGUUGCUGGGGGAAAGAUGGUUUGCUGAGAUAACUUUAAGUCUUGCUAUUAUCUUGUAUUAUACAUUUAUAUUUUUAUUCUUUUAUCUUUUUAUUUUUUCCAUGUUUAUGGAUAACUUAAAUUCCACACCUAUUAUUGAAUUUUUUGCACCUUCGGAGACCAGCCAUAGACCGUGGGAGUCAACAAGUCCUUUCUUUGCCCCUAAUUAUGAUCUGUGUCCGGAGUUGAUUGCAAUAGGUGAAAACCAACCCUUUUCUAUAGCUGAGGUCCUAUCUUUGAAUCAAGAAGAUAAUGAACUUUUAGCUACACUUAGGGAAUCUUUUAAUUUUUCUAUAAAUUCUGGUUUAAACCUAGCCCUACAAGACCAUAUUUUUUCUCGAUAUUUUUGCAUUGGUCUUAAUCAUAUAACCUUUGGUAGAGUCUUUCUUUCUUUAUCUAUUAGUAAAUGAAGGUAUGUCUUCAUUCGUGGACAUCCUUCUUGCACUAGUCUUCAUAAAAAAAAUCCUAGAGAUAGAGAAGGAAUCAUCUCCCAGAUGAGGAAAGGAAGUUUCAAUAGCCGAUUUCUGAACAUUUCAAUCCCAUGAUUCGGCUAUCCAACCCAAACUAGUAGUGCUCCAAAAUCAUCUAAGGGAAGAAGAAAUUCUACCUUUGGAAAUUCAUUUUGGGAUGAGCUUAAACUUCCUGCUUCAUAAGAGACCUUUGAGUGCAUAUAGUCUGAACCUUCCUAAGAAGGGAUCUCUUAGAAAGCAUCUC
rnacentral:lncRNA from 1 species